rnacentral:lncRNA from 1 species
AUCUUUUUUCAAUUUUUGGCACCUUCAAAAGUAAACGGCCUCCGCUCUAGCUUCUCGCACAAACCCUCUAUUUUAUUUAUUGAUUCUUCUAAAAAUUAGUUCUUAUUUUUAGAUUCAAAAUUUUCGGAUUUCACAUGUCGUCUUUUCAGCCCCUUACGUAUACUAGUACUUUUAUUGAAAGGUUCUCAUAUUUUCAUUUUCAUCUUUUUUCUGAUCCAUACCACUACCGUCUUUUUGGUGAUUACGAGUUUAACUGAUUUUAUAGAAAAGUCCUUAUAGUGCUUAUUUUCAUAUUUUCAGAUCCAAAAUUUUAUGAUUUCACGCCCCAUCUUUUCAGCCCCUCACGUAUACUGCAAUUUUUAUAGAAUGGUCCUUAUAAUUUUUUAUUCAGUUAUCUGAGGAUGCACGAUUAACAUUUUUUUUACCAUUCUUAUUUUCAGAUCCAAAAUUAUAGGAAUUUUUUACCGUUCUUAAUCCAAAAUUUUAGGAAUUCCACGCGCUAUCUUUUCAGCCCCUCACGUAUACUACUAUUUUUUGUCGAAAGGUCCUCAUAUUUUCAUUUUCAUCUUUUCAUAUCCUUACCCCUACCAACUUUUUGGUGAUUACAGUCUUUUUGCCCCUCACGAGUUCAACUGAUUUUACAAAAAGUCCUUAUAGUUCUCAUUUCCAUUUUUUCAGAUCCAAAUUUUAGGAUUUCACGCCCCAUUUUUUUCAGCUGCUCACCUAUACUACUACUUUUAUUGAAAGGUCCUCAUAAUUUUUUAUUCAGCUAUCUGAGGAUGCACGACGCUCAUUUCUAUUCAGGUCUCCUCCUUCUGGACGGUUCAUACAUUUUUCUUUUCUUUUCGAAACGACAAGAUUCAUGCAUUCAUUAAGAAAAGAGUUGCUUGGUUAAUUAGACCAUAUAUAUACAAUAUAGUGCCUCACUUUAUCGAGAUGCCACUUUGAUGACUCUACCAUGGUUGCCUCCAGCGUGCGUGAGCAGAGCAUGAACUAUAAUCUCCCAACAGUUCAAAACAUGACUAGGAAAAUAAAUGAUUGCUAUAACAAGCACAUCCCUGUACUGACUUCUCCGUCGCAAGGUUCAGAGUGGACAUCCCUGUACUGACCUCUCCGUCGUAAGGUUCAGAGGAGAGACAUAGAGAUCCUUCUAUUGGUCGGGCUCGGGGCUGCAUCAUUAUUCAUAGCUCCCCGAGUCACCAUAGAAGUUGCAUCCACCGACCACUCAAUUUUGCGCGGGGGCUACUUCAGCGUACACAACACAUGCGUGACUUUGGGUGUCAAAACUGAAGGAAAUAUGCCCUAGACGCAAUAAUAAAGUUAUUAUGUAUUUCGUUAUAUCAUGAUAAAUGUUUAUUAUUCACUAGUAUACCUCUACUUGACUAGCUCGUUGAUCAAAGUGUGCAGCUAUAAAUGUUCUUAAUUAAUUCGCCCUUCAAUUGGUCGCUAGCAUGUUAUUAGGUCAGGUUGUGUGACGGCGUGAGUUUGAUCCACAAAUAGAUGUACUUUAUUGAAGUUUUGCUCGGCCGGCCCAGUAACAUCGCCUUCAGGCGCCAUUAAGCCGAACCGGCGCUCUCAGUUAGGAGCUCCCGGCCUCAUGAACAUUAUUGAGUAGUUAUAAAGUGUGUUCAGACUCAAAAAAUAAAAAAAGGUUAGGAGGUCCCCGAACUCAGGGUCGUCCCACCACCACAGUGUCUGGACGGCCAUGCCAAGCGCGACAGGCAUUCGCAGAAGAAAUUGGGCCAUGUAUGUAUGUAUGUAUGUAUGUAUGGGCCAACGCUACAACUUGCGAUGGAGAUGGACUCGGACCGGCCGAAAGAAGAUUGUAAUUAGCCCGUGGGGUCAUCGGCCUUGUGCUUGUAAUAAGCCUCGUACUGCCUGUGGAAGGAAAUGAGGCAAGAAGAAGCAGAUGGCGAAGCCCUAGAUUCUGUCGCCGCCGCCGACAGCUCUAAUAAACUUGACGAACCUGAUGGCGCUACGUUAUAUUGUUAGAAAGAUGCCGGCCCUCGGUCUCAGGCCGCCAUCGAUGGGCCCCCUUAUGGGUCCCGUCCGGGCGCCGUCGCCGGCGUCGGGGGAGGUGGCGGUAGCCGGCCCCAAGGAAGAAGUUGGUCAACUCCCUUGUGCCCCUCCAUCUUGACAUCGCCACACACGACGUGUGUUCUCGACGUACACCCCGGUGGGGUAGAGCCUCUCCGGCACGGUGAGGGGAAAGUGGUAGGAUGGCCUGAUGUACUUCAUGGCUUUUGCGGCCUAGUUGGGGUUGUUUGUGGUGAGAAGAAGGACAGAUGCAGGAGGGAGAGGAUGAGAGAUGGAUGAGGGUGUGAGAGGAGGAGGAAGAUGAUAGGUGGCUUUAAUAGCCCCACUGCGAUGUGUUUUUUGACUGGUUUCACACCGGCUGGAAGUAAUGAGCGGGCGGCGUUGGGUGGCAUCGGGAGUGUGUACACGCGCGUGGGAAACCCAAGGCUGCAUCAAUAGCCAGGCUAUGACAUUUCAGCGCACGCGGCUGUGCCGUCGAUCGAGGGUUCAUGCCUGCUAGGUCUUCUCUGUGUGUGUCGCCCGUGCAUGCAUGCAUCAUAGGCUGGUCGCUCGCAUGCAUGGCAGUGUAGCCUGCUGGUUGGGCGGCUAAAGGGAGGUGUGGUAACGUUCGCUCCAAAGGUCCAAUGGGUGGGCUUCUUUACCACAGCCCAACAGCGCGCAUGCAUGGUAGCAGCCCACCCUCAAGCACAGAAUAAACAAAGCACAAAAAAACAGGCGUUUUCAAAUCCAGCCAAUCGUAGCGCCGAACAAGCUUCACGCGGAUCGCUGAUGUGGCACUGCAGGCUGACCCACACUGUUCGACGCACAGCGAUCCAACUGUCAGAAAUAGUUGGGGGAGUUAUCCAGCGUUGUCGAUUACGGCCAAUCAGAGCGCCUCACUCGGAUUGCUGACGUUGCCCUAGUGCUUGAUCCACACCGUCCAUUCGCAGAUAUCCAACGGGCCAGAAGGAUGCGGGGUUUUGGCUAGGGUUUGAGGGGUUUUGAAGCAGUUAGGAGGGUUUUUUAAGGGGUUAUGAGGGCUAGGUUGACCAUAACUAAUUUUAAAGAAAUCAGAAAAAUAUGAAACUUGCACCCAUCAUCGUUUUAUGUUACUAGGUUGCUAGAAAAAAAUAAGAAACCUGGUCUACGGGUAUAUUCAUGAAAAACCCUUCACAAAAUCGAGCUAUCAGGAACGAGGUUGUGUGGGAUUCAGGCUAGGGUUUAGGGUUAAGCAUGUCAUAGUUUAUCCAAACGAUCCAAUAUUGGGCAUGGACUCUAUAUUUGCACACUAGAAUUCAUGGUUUGAUUUCUGGCUCAUUUAGAGAAGGUUGGAAAAAAAUUUGCUUGCAAAUGGGGUGUUUAUCCUAGCUUUGGAGCUCAUUUGGAGCACAUUUUUCAUGACUAGUGUUUCACUCAACAAGAAGUCAUCGGAUUGAUCACCUAACAUGCAUAAUAUUUGGAAAAUCAUUGUAACAUCAAUACCCUAACUAAACAGCUCCAAAUUUGAAUUUUGGCUCAAAUUUGAAAUUCGGCCAGAAUUUGAAUUGAGUUACACAAAUACCCAUCAAAGUAAAAAUAGCAUUACACAAAUUCUGGAAAGUUUUUUACACAAAUCCAGGCAAGUUUUUUUAAUCAGAAAAGAACAAUAUUUCACUUCUACUUCUUCUUACCACUCGAUUUCUUCUUCUUUUUCUUGGCACUUGUUGAUCCCACGACAGGUACAACGUCUAGUUCACUCAAGCUCCUGGUUUUCUAGACUGGACCAUCUAGGACGGCUUUACUUGGCACCACAACAUCUAAAAGAGGCUUAGUUUCCACAACAUCAACUACAACGGCUUCAAUUUGUAACACAACGUCCAAUAUAGGUUCAGCUUGCACAUCAGCCGCAUCAAUUGCAGUUCUAGUUUGUACCACAUUCUGCUCAUUUUGCCCCACAUCCAAGCCUUGCUAAUUUUGCACCACAUCUUACUCAUUUUGCACCCCAGCAUCAUCCAAGUUUGGCUCAUUUUGCAACACAACACCGUCCAUGUUUGACUCAUCUUGCACCACAACAUCAUGCAACUCAGGUUCAUCUUGCACCAUAACAUCGAAGUCUGGUUCGGUGUGCACACUUUCACCAAAACUUCUCUUUUUUCUACAGCCAUCGAUUCUUGCCCUUUUGAUUGCCCAGCAAUCUUCAACAACAAUGGGUUGACUUCCAAGCUUCCACCUGGAAAACAAUGCUUGUAAUUUGCCUAGUAAUUAAAAACAAUAUCGAAAUAAAAAAACAAACAUAAACAUACUUUGGCCUUUCAGGAUGUAAUGACAUUUUGGAGAUCCUUUUCAGUGCCCAAGUUCCUGGCACAGCUUGCAUCUAUUUUUGUUACCUUUUUGGGACAUUUUUGGCUUUGCAUCCUUCUUCCCAUUCUCCUUUUUACUAUUCCCACCUUUCUCAAACCAUGCAUUGAAUCUACUCUCUUUAGGCCUGCCAGCCUUUCUUUUUGUGAGGGGAGGACCCAUGGAAAAAUUCAAUUUUCUUCAGGCCACUGAGACUGAUCUGUAAGUGCUGGAAUUGGAGUUGCAUAUGCAGCCUUGAAUCUUGCCACUGAGUAAUAUUCAUGCAAAUAUGGGUGCAUGUUUAUCUUGGGUUGGGAGGCUAAGAAAAGUAUGGCAUGGUCACAUGGUUUCCGGUGUGUUGCCACUCGAGGCAAGUGCAGUCAUGCAACUCAGUGUUAAUUGAAGGAAAUAUGCCCUAGAGGCAAUAAUAAAGUUGUUAUUUAUAUUUCCUUAUAUCAUGAUAAAUGUUUAUUAUUCAUGCUAGAAUUGUAUUAACUGGAAAGUUAGUACAUGUGUGAAUACAUAGACAAACAGAGUGUCACUAGUAUGCCUCUAGUUGACUAGCUCGUUGAAUCAAAGAUGGUUAAGUUUCCUAGCCAUUGACAUGAUUGUCAUUUGAAUAACGGGAUGGCAUCAUUAGAGAAUGAUGUGAUUGACUUGACCCAUUCCGUUAGCUUAGCAUUUAAUCGUUUAGUAUAUUGCCAUUGCUUUCUUCAUAACUUAUACAUGUCCCUAUGACUAUGAGAUUAUGCAACUCCCGAAUACCGGAGGAACACUUUGUGUGCUACCAAACUUCACAACGUAACUGGGUGAUUAUAAAUGUGCUCUACAGCUGUCUACGAUGGUUCUUGUUGAGUUGGCAUAGAUUGAGACUAUGAUUUGUCACUCCGAGUGUUGCAGUGGUAUCUCUGGGCCCUCUCGGUAAUGCACAUCGCUAUAAGCCUUGCAAGCAAUGUGACUAAUGAAUUAGUUGUGGGAUGACGCACUACAGAACGAGUAAAGAGACUUGCCGGUAACGAGAUUGAACUAGGUAUUGAGAUACCGGUGAUCGAAUCUCGGGCAAGUAACAUACCGAUGACAAAGGGAACAACGUAUGUUGUUAUGCGGUUUGACCGAUAAAGAUCUUCGUAGAAUAUGUAGGAGCCAGUAUGAGCAUCUAGGUUCCGCUAUUGGUUAUUGACUUGAGACGUGUCUUGGUCAUGGCUACAUAGUUCUCGAACCCGUAGGGUCCGCACGCUUAACGUUCGGUGACGAUCGGUAUUAUGAGUUUUUGUGUUUUGAUGUAUCGAAGACAGUUCGGAGUCCCGGAUGUGAUCACGGACAUGACGAGGAGUCUCAAAAUGGUCGAGACAUAAAGAUUGAUAUAUUGGACGGCUAUAUUCAGACAUCGGAAGUGUUCCGGAGAUGUUUCAGAGAAAACCGAAGUGCGGGAGGGGUUACCGGAACCCCCCGGGGAAGUAUUGGGCCUUAGUGGGCCUUAGGGGAGAGAGAGGGCAGCAACCCAGGAGGUGGCGCACCGCCUCCCAUGGGGAGUCCGAAUUGGACUAGGGGAGGGGGCGCUGCCCCUCUUUCCCUCUCCCUCUCCCUCUCCUUCCUUCCCCCUUCCCCCUUCCUAGUAGGACUAGGAAAGGAUGAACCCUACUCCUACUAGGAGGAGGAUUCCUCCUCUCCUUAGGGCGCACCAAGGCCGGGGGGGACAUCCUAGGACACACAAGUUGAUUGUUCCAAGCCGUGUGCAUUGCCCCCUCCACCAUAUUCAACCUCGUUCAUAUCGUAGCGGUGCUUAGGCGAAGCCCUGCGUCGGUAACUUCAUCAUCACCGUCAUCACGCCGCCUUGCUGACGAAACUCUCCCUCGGCCUCAACUGGAUCAAGAGUACGAGGGACGUCAUCGAGCUGAACGUGUGCUGUACACGGAGGUGCCAUACGUUCGGUGCUAGGAUCGGUCGGAUCGUGAAGACGUACGACUACACAAACCGCGUUGAUAUAACGCUUCCCCUUACGGUCUACGAGGGUACGUGCACAACACUCUCCCCUCUCGUUGCUAUGCAUCACCAUGAUCUUGCGUGUGCAUAGGAACUUUUUUGAAAUUACUACGUGAGUUGUGGGCGAUACAAGUCAUACUGCUUACCAGCAUGUCAUACUUUGCUUCGGCGGUAUUGUUGGAUGAAGCGGCCCAGACCAACAUUACGCGUACGCUUACGCGAGACUGGUUCUACAGACGUGCUUCGCACACAGGUGGCUGGAGGGUGUCAGUUUCUCCAACUUUAGUUGAAUCGAGUGUGACUAUGCCCGGUCCUUGUGAAGGUUAAAGCAUCACAUAUUUGACAAAAUAUAAUUGUGGUUUUUAUGCGUAGGUAAGAACGGUUCUUGCUCAGUCCGUAGCAGCCACGUAAAACUUGCAACAACAAAGUAGAGGACGUCUAACUUGUUUUUGCAUGGCAUGUUGUGAUGUGAUAUGGUCAAGACUGAAGGAAAUAUGCCCUAGAGGCAAUAAUAAAAUUGUUAUUUAUAUUUCCUUAUAUCAUGAUAAAUGUUUAUUAUUCAUGCUAGAAUUGUAUUAACUGGAAACUUAGUACAUGUGUGAAUACAUAGACAAACAGAGUGUCACUAGUAUGCCUCUACUUGACUAGCUCGUUGAAUCAAAGAUGGUUAAGUUUCCUAGCCAUUGACAUGAGUUGUUGUCGGUAGAAAGCGACACCUAUGGGUACAACAAGGAUCCCUACUAUGGUUGUGGGGAGCUGGAAUUGGUGAGGAGAGGAGGAUCAACAGUAAGUGUAAACACGCGGGUCAUUUACCCAGGUUCGGGCCGCAUAGAUGCGUAAUACCCUAGUCCUGCUUGGAUGUGUAUAUCUGUGUUCUUGAGGAGCUCGAACUAGUUAUAGGGGGCGUAACUUGUCCAAUAGUCCGAAUCCUUCUCAUGGAUGCCUUGGGUCUCCUUUUAUAGGCAAAAGGGAUCGCCACAGUGGCACCAGGAGGUGGCAUCGGGGUACUGUGGCUAUGCUUAUUGCUAGUCAUUACAGGACAAAACGCAUUAAAUGCGCCCCCGACGUGUCCCCUCCGCUUUACUGCCGCUUUGCCUCGUCUUGACACGCGCCUGGACCAACGAGGCGGCGGCGCCAUGUAGGCAGGCAAGCAGCUGAGGUGGCGCUGUGGUGGAGCCUUCAGGAAGGUUUGCAUGCCACCACGUAGGCACGUGCUGAGUUGGCGAAGGAGCCCCGCGUUGACACGCAGGUGCCUGCCCGGCUGGUGGGCUGGCAGCUGCAUGGGAUUGGCGGUGGAAAGCUAGGUGUGUGCGGGCCUGGCUGCGGCCUCGCGGACGCUCCCGGCAAGGGCCUUGCUGGGGCACCGGCAAGGGUCUUGUCACGGCGUUACGGUCGUCCCCGGCAAGGAUCUUGCCGUGGGCCUUGUGGAUUCCCUCGGCAAGGAUUUUGCCGAGGCUCGUCGUCCCUCUCUCUUCUGAUUAAGAGUGUUGUUCCUUGUCUUCACAAAGAUCUGCAUGCCGCCAUGGAGGUGCUUCCCGAGCCCUGGCCCAAUGCAGUUGAUGGUGUUGGAAGACGUAGGCUCAAGGGUGGCUCGCUCCGUUGGUGUUGGGGCGAGCUGCCCCGGCAAGGGUCUUGCCGGGGCCGCAGAGGCCGCCCCGGCAAGGAUCUUGCCGGGGGAACCUGCUUGGUCCCUCUGCUCUCUGUGGUCUUGGUCUUGGCGUUGCCUUGCUUGUCUUGAAUUCACCUUGGUUCACCUCCCCUGCCUUGCCAAGCGCGGCCGUGGCGUGUGGCUUCGACUGCCCGUGCACAAGUAAAGGGGUCAAAAGGAGAGCCCCUACUUUUGUACACCGACAGGAGCCCCCAGGCCUGGGCCACACAUAAGCGCAACACGUUGUUGGGUCAGGCCCAAAAAUGGCGUGGGCAGGUGGGGCGGUUUUUAUCACGGUAAAACUUCGUCAGUGGCGCUUCCCCACGACCCGCGUUGAACGUGCGUCGUGGAGGAGCGCGCGUGACGUGGGGGGCAUGCGUGGGACGGUUCCCGCACGCAUGCGUCACGUCGCAGUUAAUGGGAAAGGAGGUGGCCCGCGCCUUCCCCGUAAAAAGGAAUAACCGCGGGUGCGCUGCUCACUUUACCCUCUAUGUGUCCUCUUCCAAUCUCAGAGCCACCGCCUUCUUCUCCUUACCCCCUAAGCUUCAUCCAUCGCCGCCGCGCCUCCGCCAUCUUCCGCCCUCUCGCUCCUCGCAGCUGCUAUGGCGCCCAAAUCCACCAGAGGAAAAGGAGCAGCCAAAGACGAUGGAGCGGCGGAGCAGCCGGAGAGUGAGCUGGUGGUGCGAUGGGCGCAGUUCGCCUACUUCCACCAUUCGACGGUCGGGGUGCCUGAGCUCCGAGAGUUAUUCAAAGCCCUGUGGGGAGUGAAGAUGGGAGGAGCAACGACGGGGCAUCCAGCUACGUGCGUCGUCCCGGCCAGCGCCGGGCCUACCCCGAACCGAUACCCCUUCUUCGUCGACUAUUUCUCCUGCGGGCUUUGUCCUCCCUUCUCUGAUUUCUUCAAUGACGUCAUGCGUAGCUACGGUUUCCGCCUUCUGGAUCUCACUCCGAACGCCGUGGCGUGCAUGGCUCUCUUUGCGCACCUAUGCGAGGGCUUCGCCGGGGUGCACUCCAGCACGUCGCUUUUUCGCCAUUACUUCACCCCUCGGAUCCAAAAGGGCGGCGCCAUUACUGGUUGUGUCACCUGGAUCUCGAGGUCCAAGGGGGCGUACCCGGACGGCGCCACGAAGGAGAGGUGGGAAGAAUGGCGGGCCCGGUGGUGCUGGAUUGAGGAGGAGAACCCGCCGGCCUUUUGCCGGGUCCACGACGCGCCGCCGGUUCGAGGAAACGAUUGGAGCGACCUCGAUGCUGACAACACGAAGCUCAGGGUCGCCACCACAAGGAUUCUUCGGCUUACCCAGGCCGGGCUCACCCUUGAGAUGAUCGGGGCGGACUUCAUCCGCCGCCGAAUCUCUCCUCUGCACGAUAAGGUGAGGCCGGCCUAGCUUUACACGAAUGCUGCUGACAUCAUGAGGCUUCGUCCUGGCCUCGAUCACAACCUGACGGUGCCGAGGCACACCCAUCUCUGCCAGCGGCUCUUCCAGCUCGAAGUCAAUGACGAGGGCGAGGUCGAGCGGUCCGGCAAGGCCGAGAGGGACGCAGCGAAGGCUGGCAAGGUCGCGAAGGAGCCUGUCUUUAAGUUGCCGGCGGGGGUGGUACAGUCCGAGAUCAUCGCCAUGAUGCCGGACUUCAACGCACACAGCCUCGACCCAAACUGGGUCGAGUCGGACGAGCUCCAAGUGUUGGAAUUCUUCGAUACGUUGCACGAGAGGUAUGCCACUACCGAGCCACGGCUCAUCCAGGACACCUCCCCGACAGAGCUAGACUAUAUUGCCGCCAGGGUGGAAGAGGCAAAACGCGCCACCGAGGAGGCCGGCAGCGCCGGCGGUGUGGAGGACAAAGCAGCGAAGGCCGCGGAGGAGAAGGAGGUCGCCAGGUGGGCGAAGGCCGCCGGGGAGGCCACUAGUGCCGGCACCGGGGCUCCUCUUGUUGAAGAGUCGGCCGACGAGUCAUCGUCGUCGGAGGAGGCCGGGGCUGUCGACCCUCUGGCCUCAGGGAGGAGGCGCGUCUUGCGCCGAGCCACUUCUGGUGAUCCGGUCCGCCCCGGGAAGGCCGCGUGGCAGCCCAGAUCUUUGGUGGAGUCCGCGCGUGAGGCGAGAGCCGCGACGGCGAAGAAAGUGGUGAAGGCCGCGGUGGCGACGAAAAAGGCAUUUGCUUCCUCUUCGUCUAAGCGUGUGCUGUACGCCAUGUCAGAGAAGUCGAAGAGGCCAGCAGAAAAGAACUCGACGACGAUUGCGGUGUCCAUUGGCGCAGGGCCAAUGUCACCAACGGUGGUCGGAGUAGACGAAGUGGUCAGGGUAGAUGACGGCGACGUUGACGAUGUGCUGGUGCUGGACAAAGACGAAGGAGAUGGACGGGCGACUGCGGCAGCUAUGGGGUAGCGGCGGCGGCCUGACAACGGCGUCGGCGGCUAGGCUAGGAGCGCGGCGGCGGUGCUCGAAGUAGGCGAAGAACCCUGACAACGUGACGAAGAUCGGCGCGGACGGUGGCGUUCCCGCGCCAAGGGAGAUGGGACGGCACAUACCACGAGAGGUCGACGUGCGGUGACGGCGGAGUGGACCGCGGGCCGCGACGCUACUUCCUGAAGGGGCGACGGCAGGAAGACCUCUGGGCGGCGGCGGGGACAGCGGGCCGCGGCGUACGGCCCGAAGGGGCGAUGCAGCGGCAGAGCGCGGGUGGGUGCAACCGCGGGGACGGCCUUGGGGCGGCGGCUGGGACCGCGUAUUGCGGCACUAUGGCCCGUACGGGCAACACAGCGGCGAUGCACGAGUCGAUGCAGCCGCGAGGAGAACCAUGGGGUGGUGGCGCUGCGGCCCGACGGGGCGACGCAACGGCAGCCCGUUGCACGAUCAGCGGAGGGGCGCGCUGAACUCGGGGACAAUCUUCAUGGGACCUGCGGAGGCGCGCGUAACCAAUGGGCCAGGUCGGUCGCGCGGCGUAGAUGAGGCAGAUCGCGACAGCGAGCGGGUGAUCAAGCCGAUCACGUGCGAGGUCGGGGACGCCGGUUGGUGGAGGCAGGGUGGUGGCGGAGUCCGGGAGGAGGCCGGCAACGACGGACGGUGUGGGACAUCGUGCAAACGAGUUUGUCAGCACCGACACCUGGGCUGCCAAAGCAGCGCCGGCGCCCGGGCAGUGAGACCCGAGCGACCAACAGAGCAGCGGUGCCCGAGUUGAGGCAGCCGACGAGCCUGACGCAGCCGUCCUGAUGCAGUCGAGGACGAGGCCGGCGAGGUAGACCACCGGACCACCGUGCAGACGCGGCGGAGGUGGGUGACGUGGAUCGACGGGUGGCCGGCGCGCGAACGAAGGCUAUGAUUGGCCAUCGCAUGGCGCGAGGCGCCAGUUCCGGGCGAUGCAGGUUUCCCGGUCGGAGCAGGGCGGUGACGGCCGGCGCAGGGCGACGGGUGGACCGGUGCGCGGACGGCGGCUGGCCCUGACGGGCAGCUUCGUCGCGCGUGGCCGCCGGGUGGGAGGAGACGCCGGCUGGUCUCGCCGGGGUUGAAGUAGAGGCGCACGGGGGUCGAUGCAAACCGAUCAAGAUUAGAUCGGAAAACCAAAAAGAAAAACGCCGAUCAAAACGACCGGCGAGAGAGAAAAAAAAACCGGAGCAAGGGCUCGGGAAAAAGAGUCUCUAGGGCAGCUGAGGGAGUCCCGGAUUAGGGGGUGUUCGGAUAGCCGGACUAUACCUCCCGCCGGACUCCAGGACUAUGAAGAUACAAGAUUGAAGACUUCGUCCCGUGUCCGGAAGGUUCUUUCCUUGGCGUAGAAGGCAAGCUAGGCGUGCGGAUAUUCGCGAUCUCCUACCAAUGUAACCGACUCUGUGUAACCCUAACCCUAUCCGGUGUCUAUAUAAACCGGAGGGUUGUAGUCCGUAGGCCAACUUCAUCAUAGAACCAUCUUCAUACACAAUCAUACCGUAGGCUAGCUUCUAGGGUUUAGCCUCCUUGAUCUCGUGGUAGAUCUACUCUUGUACUACCCAUAUCAUCAAUAUUAAUCUAGCAGGAGUAGGGUUUUACCUCCAUCGAGAGGGCCCGAAUCUGGGUAAAAUAAAGUGUCCCUUGUCUCCUGUUACCAUCCGACCUUGACGCACAGUUCGGGACCCCCUACCCGAGAGCCGCCGGUUUUGACACCGACAUUGGUGCUUUCGUUGAGAGUUCCUCUAUGUCAUCGCCUUUAGGUUCGAUGGCUCCUUUGAUCAUCAACGGCGAUGAGGUCCAGGGUGAGACUUUUCUCCCCGGAUAGAUCUUCGUCUUCGGCGGCUUCGCUCUGCGAGCCAACUCGCUUGGCCAUCUAGAGCAGAUCGAAAGCUACGCUCCUGGCCAUCAAGUCAGGUUUGGAAGCUUAAACUACACGGCGGAUAUCCGCGGAGACUUGAUCUUUGACGGAUUCGAGCCACAGCCAAGCGUGCCGCACUGUCAAGAAGGGCAUGAUAUAGCUCUGCUCCCGAACAGUGUCCUGGAGGCCGCAUACGCUCCGGCCCCGAUCCUUGAUUCGGAGCCCGCUACGUUCGUUGAGGAAGAACGGUUGGACGUCACCUCAGGGGCUGCAACGAGGCAAUUGAGCCGAACGCCGGUCCCGCACUCCGCGUUGCCCAUGACUCCGAGGAGCCAGACUCUUCUCCGAACUCCGGGCCUUCCACGCCCCUGCCGAUCGAAUCUGAUUGGGCGCCUGUAAUGGAGUUCACCGCCGCAGACAUUUUCAGUGCUCACCUUUUGGUGACAUCCUGAAUUCCCUCAAGUCUCUCUCUUUGUCAGGAGAGCCCAGACCGGAUUAUGGUCUGCGAGGUUGGGAUUCGGACGAUGAAGAAAUUCAAAGCCCACCCACCACCCACUUAAUAGCCACUGUCGACGACUUAACCGGCAUGCUCGACUUCGGCUCCGAAGACUUCGACGGUAUGGACGACGAAGGAGGAGACGAACAACAACCAGCACCUGAAGGGCGCUGGACCGCCACCUCGUCAUAUGACAUAUACAUGGUGGACGCUCCGAAAGACGGAGAUGGCGAUGGAACAACGGAGGAUGGCACCUCGAAAAAGCCUCCCAAACGCCGGAGUCAGCGGCACCGCUCUAAAUCCCGCCAAAGCAAGAAUGGUGAUUCCGGCACGGGGGAUAAUACUACCCCGGAUACCGCCGAAGAGCACCAACCCCAGCAAGACUCAGCACGGGAAGAUGGAGAAGCCAGCCUUCAUGAGAAAGCGGCAGAACAAGAGGUUGAGGAUGAUAACUAUAUGCCUCCCUCCGAAGACGAGGCAAGCCUCGACGACGACGAAUUCGUCGUACCAUCAGACCCUGCCGAACAAGAGCGUUUUCAACGCAUGCUUAUUGCCACGGCCAACAGCCUAAAGAAAAAGCAGCAACAGCUUAGGGUUGAUCAAGAUUUGCUAGCUAACAGAUGGACAGACGUCCUUGCGGCCGAAGAGUAUGAACUCGGGCGCUCCUCCAAAAAUUAUCCUAAGCGCAGGCCGCUCCCCCAAUCAGAGGAUGAAGCAAAUGACAUGGCAGACCGGCCACCUUGCGGCCGCGACAGAGAGGCCCGUCGAACCUUCAAACCAACCAUGCCCAGGGGCCGUUCGGCUAGGGCACAAGAAAACGAGCCAGACCUGCGAGACGUACUGGAGGACAAAGCAAGGCAGACAAGAUCGAUCUAUGGAUCGCGCGGACGCCCAACACGUGACGAUUUUCAGUCCGGACACAAUAAGCCCGGCCAGGCCGAACACAACAAGCACAGCUCUUCCGAGCUGCGUCGUGACAUAGCCCAGUACAGGGGCGCCGCACACCCGUUAUGCUUCACAGACGAAGUAAUGGAUCAUCAAAUCCCAGAGGGUUUCAAACCCGUCAAUAUCGAGUCGUACGAUGGUACGACGGAUCCGGCAGUUUGGAUCGAGGAUUAUCUCCUUCACAUCCAUAUGGCACGCGGCGACGACCUGCACGCCAUCAAAUAUCUCCCACUUAAGCUUAAGGGACCAGCUCGGCAUUGGCUUAACAGCUUGCCAGCAAAUUCAAUCGGUUCUUGGGAGGACCUGGAAGCUGCAUUCCUUGACAACUUCCAGGGCACUUAUGUGUGACCGCCGGACGCUGAUGACCUAAGCCACAUAAUUCAGCAGCCAGACGAAUCGGCCAGGCAAUUCUGGACACGGUUCCUAACAAAGAAAAAUCAGAUAGUCGACUGUCCGGACACAGAGACCCUAGCGGCCUUCGAGCAUAACAUCCGCGAAGAAUGGCUCGCCCGGCACCUGGGACAGGAAAAGCCGAAAUCCAUGGCAGCCCUCACGACACUCAUGACCCGCUUUUACGCGGGCGAAGACAGCUGGCUAGCUCGUAGCAACAACCUAUCAAAGAAGACUGCUAAUCCGGAUACCAAGGACAAAAGUGGCAGGUCAUGUCGAAACAAUCAAAAGCGCCACGUUAGCAGCGACAUCAAUGAGGAUACGGCAGUAAAUGCCGGAUUCAGAGGCUAUAAAUCCGGUCAGCAGAAACAGCCAUCUAAAAAGAAUAACCAGGGCCCGUCCAAUUUGGACAGAAUACUCGACCGCUCGUGCCAGAUUCACGGCACCCCCGAAAAUCCAGCCAAUCACACCAACAGAGAUUGUUGGGUGUUCAAGCAGGCAGGCAAGUUAAGAGCCGAACAUAAAAACAAGGGGCUGGACAACGAUGAUGAGCAGGAGCCCAGGCCGCUGAACAACAAAGGACAGAAGGGGUUUCCCCUGCAAGUGCGGAUGGUGAACAUGAUAUACGCGACCCACAUUCCCAAGAGGGAAAGGAAGCGUGCGCUACGGGACGUAUACGCGAUGGAGCCAGUCGCCCCAAAGUUCAACCCUUGGUCCUCUUGCCCGAUCACUUUCGAUCGAAGGGACCACCCCACUAGUAUCCGUCACGGCGGUUUUGCCGCAUUGGUCCUCGAUCCAAUCGUCGACAGAUUCCAUCUUACAAGAGUCCUCAUGGACGGCGGUGGCAGCCUGAACCUGCUUUACCAGGAUACAGUGCGGAAAAUGGGCAUAGAUCCAUCAAGGAUCAAGCCCACCAGGACGACCUUCAAAGGCGUCAUCCCAGGUGUAGAGGCCAAUUGUACAGGCUCCAUAACACUUGAUGUGGUCUUCGGAUCUCCGGAUAAUUUUCGAAGCGAAGAGUUAAUCUUCGACAUAGUCCCGUUCCGCAGUGGUUAUCACCCCCUACUCGGACGAACUGCAUUUGCUAAAUUCAAUGCGGUUCCGCACUACGCAUAUCUCAAGCUCAAGAUGCCAGGCCCUCGAGGAGUAAUUACGGUCAGCGGAAACACCGAACGCUCCAUCACUACGGAGUAGCACACGGUGGCCCUCGCAGCGGAAGUAAAAAGUAGCCUUUCAAGGCAACUCUCCAGUCCGGCCGUUAAAACGCCGGACAAUGCAAAGCGCGCCCGGAGUAACCUGCAACAAGACCACUUGGCACGAUCGGAUCAGGCGUAGCAAUACGGCCCCAACCCCAGCCAUCGCAGCAUCGCGGAGCUAGUACCUCGAGUACACAGUUAUGCCCUUAAAAUUCCAUGGGCAUAGGGGAAGGGGGCACUGUAACGGCAUGCCUACAAUACGGCUUUAAAACGUACUAGGGGCUGCCGGAUUUUUCCUUUUUUACUUUCAGGACUCCACAUUCUGGACAACAUGUUCGGCCUUGUUGCCGCAGAGACGAUACAAGGCCCAGGAGAGCAGACAAAGCUAUGCCGCACUACGAAACUCUCAGGUGGUCUCUAUUUUGAGCGAUAUAUCUGUUUCCAAAUUUCCGCGGCCUGCGCCUGUCCAGGACAUGUUAAAUAGUCUAGUAUUUUUUGCUUAUCGCACUACUUGUAACGGCCGGCUUCGAAUAGCCUCUUUAUAAACAAUGCAUAGCUUUAUGUCUAUUUUCUGCAUUACCCUCUUUGACUAUAUAUGUUUAUCCCAUAACAUGAUCGCACCCGUACACCAUGGUACGGCAAACCACGCCAGGGGCUUUAUUACCCUUUUAUCUAGACGUGAGAAGUCCGUACACUUUCACAAGUGCGGCACCCCAAACUUAUAGCACUAUAUGCAUCGGCUCCAAGUCAUGAUUUUGGUCAUAUGUUGGGUUUGCCCGGCUCCUAUGUUUUGGUACCUUACGUUCCGCUCUAUCGGCUAAGGUAGCACUAGGAGAACCGCUGCGAUUGUGCCCCAGGUCAUGUGGGUGAGCACCUCAGUGGAGAAAGCUAAAACAGACUGUCAUGAUAGGGCGUGAGACCGGUCACUGUUCGAGAGCUUUUUCAAGUCCUUAAAGGCUUAUGCCGCUUCGAGCGGAGAGCUGGUUAAAACCGGCUAAAGGCGUGGAUAGUGCCCCGAAUUCGGCCUUCCGAACUAGGGGCUUAGCCGAAAUUUAAAAUUAUAAAGUUCUAUGGCUAAGUGAGAGUGUUCAAGCAUUAUAGUCCGGUUGCCUGGUUCGUUGUGCUGAGGGCCUCCCUCGAAGGACCCAACUAUGGGAAAAAGAGCCCUCAGGUUUAUCCCGAACACCCCAGCUGCAUGGGGGCAGAAGUCGACGACUCGCCAUCUCUCAAUUACUGAUAAACGGCCGCACAGAAAAUAAUAUUUUAAAUUCAAAGCAUUGCUUAAAGCGCAUAUGAACAAGUUUUCAGCGCACAGGAUACAAACGAACGAGUUCAUUGAAAUAUUACAUCCUUAGCACAUUCAUCCGCAAUAAGGCGGGCUCCGGCAAGAACUUGCUCAUAAUAGUUCUCGGGCUUGCGAUGUUCCUUCCCUGGCGGCGGCCCGUCCUUCACCAGCUUCUCGCCGUUCAGCUUACCCCAGUGUACCCUCACACGAGCAAGGGCCCUCCGGGCACCUUCAAUGCAGGCAGAGCGCUUGAUGACCUCAAGCCGUGGAAAGGCCUCCACCAGCCGCCGCACCAGCGCAAAGUAGCUCCCAGGCAGGGCCUCCCCAAGCCACAGCCGAACUAGGAGGCCCUUCAUGGCCUGUUCGGCCGCCUUGUGGAGCUCGACCAGCUGCUUCAGCUGAUCACUCAAGGGCACAGGGUGUCCGGCCUCAGAAUACUGAGACCAGAACACACUCUCCGCUGAGCUGCCUUCUUCAGCUCGGUAGAACGCGGCGGCGUCGGAUGCGCUGCGGGGAAGAUCGACAAACACCCCUGGAGAACUCCGGAUUCGGGUAAGAAACAGGUAUUUUAUUUUUUAUAUUUCUACUUCGCAUUAAGAAUGCCUUACCCGCUGCUAUCUUUUUCACAUCCUCCAACUCUUGGAGGGCCUUCUGGGCUUCGGCCUUGGCACUCUUGGUGGCCUGAACGGCAGAGGCGAGUUCGAUGGCUUGCGUUUUCACGUCAAGCUCCAAACCCUCAUGUUUUUCCUUGAGGGCUUGCAGCUUCUGCUGCACCUCGCCGCAUUGGAUCCCAAGCUUUUCUCGUUCGGUGCGCUCCACGGCCGUCUUCUUUUCGGCCUCAGCAAGCGCCUGCCUCAGGGUUGCCACCUCCGUCGCGGCCCCUACAUCAGGCAGUGUAUUCCUGUUAUUUUCUACAAUCAAGCCUCUCCAUGGGCACAUUUUUAUUAUUAAGGGUCUUUCUUACCUUCCUCCUCCUCGAGCUGCCCUCUGGCAAGACCGAGCUCUCGCUCGGACCGCUCAAGGUCCUUUUUCAGGACAUCCACCUGCACAGUUAAUGCGGCGGUGGACAGCAGCGAAGCCUGCAUACGCAUAUUUGACUUCUUGUUAGUCUCCUGCGAUAAUUAUUAGAUCCUCUAUUCGGCCUUUCUUUCCGAACACCGAACAGAGCAUCAGGGGCUACUGUCUAUGCGGCAAUGAAUUUAGCAUUUUAUUUGCUUACCUGAAAGCCUGUUAGAAGGCUAGCGCAAGCCUCAUUCAGUCCGCUCUUGGCGGACUGAACCCUUCGGACCACCGUACUCAUAACAGUACGGUGCUCCUCGUCAAUGGUGGCGCCUUCAAGCGCCUCCAGCAAGUUGUCCGACUCCUCUGGUUGGGCAGAGGUCGCCGGCUCAGACGGCUUGCUCCUCUUGGAAGGAGUUUGCCUACCGCGGGCCAGGACUGUUGAGUCCGGCGCGGUGACCGACACAAAGCCGGACUUGGUGCCCUGGGGGGACUUGUCCCCUCCACUCCUGGUGUCCGGGAGGUUGCCUUGCGGCUCCUCCAGGACUACCUCCUCCUGCCCAGGAGUUUGGCGGGACGCCACGUCGGCGUCGUCUGCCCGGCAGGGGGAGACGGCAGGCGGAACAGAGUUCACGUCCGACGAACCCAAGGAACCACUCGACGAAUCGUCGAGUCUUGCCCGGGGCGGCCUGCACAAUUACAUUCAACAUAAGGGAAAGCUGUGCAAAUAAAAAAAUAUCAUGAGUUACUCUGGUAUCCGAAUACCUACGACUUCGCCGGACGCUUGGUCCUUUCCGGCCACUCCUCCUCGUCCUCGUUGGAGUCAGGGGAGUAGUCCGGCGGAGGGGUCUUCCUCUUGUUGGACCCCUUAGCCACCCCCGCUGGGGCGGCCUUCCUCUUCUUUCCUUCCCCCGUUGGAGGGGGAGGGAUUUCUUCUUCCUCCUCCUCGCUUUCACGAGGGGAGGGCGUCGCAGACUCGCCAGAUGAUGAGUCUGAUAGCACCACGUUGCGGGCACUCUUUCGAGUCCCGGUGGUCUUCUUCUUCUUGGCCUUCUUGUCCGGCACCACAUAAGGUGCCGGAGCCAGCAGCUUCUCUAGAAGAGCUGGGGCUUGGUCUUCGGGCAGAGGAGCCGGACAGUUGAUUGGUCCGGCUAUCUUCAGCCACUUCUGUCAAAGAUAAGAGGGAGUUUUUCGAUCCCACACAGAGUUAAUCUGUGAAGAAAGGCUUGAUAAAACCUGUCAAAGGUACGGAUAGCUUACCUCGCUGGCAUCGCGCCGGAGCUGUAUCCGCGAUCCUCGGAAGCGGAUGCGGGGGACUCAACGCUUUUGGUCAGCACCUUCCAGACGUCUUCAUACGUCGUGUCGAAGAGCCUACUAAGGGUUUGGUGCCGCGCCGAGUCGAAUUCCCACAAAGUGAAAUCCCGUUGUUGGCACGGGAGGAUCCGGCGGACGAGCUUAACCUGGAUUACAUUCACAAGCUUGAUUGGCUUGUUCACCAGGGACCGGAUGCAUGUCUGCAGUCCGGUCACUUCUCCCUCGUUACCCCACGACAGGCCCGUCUCUUUCCAGGACAUAAGCCGCGUGGGGGUCCGGAUCUGAACUCGGGGGCUGCGAUCCAUUCCGGAUCGCGUGGCUCGGUGAUGUAAAACCACCCGGCUUGCCACCCCUUUAGGGUCUCCACAAAGGAGCCCUCGAACCAGAGGACGUUGGCCAUCUUGCCGGCCAUAGCGCCUCCGCACUCCGCCUGGGUGCCGGACACCACCUUGGGCUUGACGUUGAAAGUCUUGAGCCAGAGGCCGAAGUGGGGGCGGACGCGGAGAAAUGCCUCACACACGACGAUAAACGCCGAGAUGUUGAGGAUAAAGUUCGGGGCCAGAUCGUGGAAAUCCAGCCCGUAAUAGAACAUGAGCCCCCGGACAAAAGGAUGGAGCGAAAAGCCCAGUCCGCGGAGGAAAUGGGGAAGGAAAACUACCCUCUCAUCAGGCCUAGGGGUAGGAAGAAGUUGCCCUGCCUCGGGAAGCCGGUGCGGGAUGUCCUUGGACAGGUAUCCGGCCUCCCUAAGCUUUUUGAUUUGGCUCUCCGUAACGGAGGAAACCAUCCACUUGCCUCCCGCUCCGGACAUUGCUGGAGAAGGUCGAGGUGGGGAGCGCGAGCUUGGGCGCUGGAGCUCGAGAGUGCAAGAGAUGGAUAGGCAGAGGAGGAAGAAGGCGUAAGUAAAUAGGUGGAUCCUUAUCCCCUUAUGUGGCGGAUGCGGUUAUGCGUCCCCACUUGCCUAAUAAAACUCGCUUGCCUCUCAAACGCCGUGGUAAAAUGGCACGUUUGGGUUACCCACGCCUGUAUUAAUGAGAAUCCCGUUGAAAGGGGCGCACGAUCUCUGCUUCGAUAAGACGUGCCAAGGAAACCGCCUCGUUGAACGUAUAGCGGUGGAACAGUAAAAUAUUCCAUACAGAAGGCUUGGCCGCAGUGUUAUGAUGCACCGUGGGAUACGUCAGCAGAUUUGAUUUGUGUUAAUAUUAUUCUCUAUAUGGCAAUACGUGGAAACUUAUUUUGCAGAGCCGGACACUUUUUUUGGUGUUAUUCAUCUUCUUGAAGAACUUGGAGGAGGAACCCGCCUUGCAAUGCCGAAGACAUUUUGCGCGCCGGACUCAUCGUCAUUGAAGCCAGGUUCAGGGGCUACUGAGGGAGUCCCGGAUUAGGAGUUGUUUGGAUAGCCGGACUAUACCUCCCGCCGGACUCCAGGACUAUGAAGAUACAAGAUUGAAGACUUCGUCCCGUGUCCGGAAGGUUCUUUCCUUGGCGUAGAAGGCAAGCUAAGCGUGCGGAUAUUCGCGAUCUCCUACCAAUGUAACCGACUCUGUGUAACCCUAACCCUAUCCGGUGUCUAUAUAAACCGGAGGGUUGUAGUCCGUAGGCCAACUUCAUCAUAGAACCAUCUUCAUACACAAUCAUACCGUAGGCUAGCUUCUAGGGUUUAGCCUCCUUGAUCUCGUGGUAGAUCUACUCUUGUACUACCCAUAUCAUCAAUAUUAAUCUAGCAGGAGUAGGGUUUUACCUCCAUCGAGAGGGCCCGAACCUGGGUAAAUUAAGGUGUCCCUUGUCUCCUGUUACCAUCCGACCUUGACGCACAGUUCGGGACCCCCUACCCGAGAUCCGCCGGUUUUGACACCGACAGCAGCCGGCCAACACGGCCGGCGAACGAACCCUAGGUACGGGCGGCGCGGCCCCCGGCGGCGGUCAUGGAGGCCGACCGCCCCGGGGGCGGCACAGGGGUGCGGAAGCAGCGGCGGCUAGGGUUUGGAUCGUGAUUAGGCUGAUACCAUGUUUAGAAGGAAGAGAGGGAUUUGGUGGAAUAGUUCGUUGUAUUGCUUGAGCCUCGNNNNNNNNNNNNNNNNNNNNNNNNNNNNNNNNNNNNNNNNNNNNNNNNNNNNNNNNNNNNNNNNNNNNNNNNNNNNNNNNNNNNNNNNNNNNNNNNNNNNNNNNNNNNNNNNNNNNNNNNNNNNNNNNNNNNNNNNNNNNNNNNNNNNNNNNNNNNNNNNNNNNNNNNNNNNNNNNNNNNNNNNNNNNNNNNNNNNNNNNNNNNNNNNNNNNNNNNNNNNNNNNNNNNNNNNNNNNNNNNNNNNNNNNNNNNNNNNNNNNNNNNNNNNNNNNNNNNNNNNNNNNNNNNNNNNNNNNNNNNNNNNNNNNNNNNNNNNNNNNNNNNNNNNNNNNNNNNNNNNNNNNNNNNNNNNNNNNNNNNNNNNNNNNNNNNNNNNNNNNNNNNNNNNNNNNNNNNNNNNNNNNNNNNNNNNNNNNNNNNNNNNNNNNNNNNNNNNNNNNNNNNNNNNNNNNNNNNNNNNNNNNNNNNNGGCACCUUUCAUGACGGCUCAUUGAUCCACAUCAUCAAAAUUAAUUAAACCAUUAGAUUAUAAAAUUUACGAUCAGGAUAAAAGGAAAACUAACGUAACACAGAUGAUGUCGUCUAAUAGAAAAAUGCCUCUGUCACGUCCAAGUCCAACGUUAGUUAAAAACAGCCUCAUGUACAAAAUAUAAGGAAAGCCUCACGCGAUCCUAAAAAAAAGCAAGCCUCUCGUAGAAAAAGAAGUCCUAUGGGAAGACGCAUCUAAUACGUCCACGUCCAAUCUUAGUGAAAAAAAAACAAAGCAAGCCUCAUGUACAAGAUAAACGAAAGCCUCACGUAAAAUACAAGGAAAGCCUCUAGCAGUUCCCACAAAUUAAAAAGAAAUCUUUUUUAAAAAAUUACAUGACCUCCCAUUAAUCCACAACAUCAAAAUUAAUUAAUUUGCGUACAAAAAUCAAAAAUAGUUAAUCCGUUCAAUUCUAAAAUUUACGAUCAGUAUAGAAGGAAAUAUCGUGUAGCGUAGAUUAUCACGUCCGGUAGAAAAAUACAUCUGACACGUCCAUUGCAACGUUAGUGAAAAAAAGUACCACGUAAAAACAAAAAGGAAAGAAAAUCCCGACGAUUAAAAAACAGUAAGCCUUUACCUGUUCCCACAAACUAAGGAGGAAAGCCCCGAUAAAAACUCCAGUGAUAAAAGGUCAAAAGAAAAUCCACAAUGUGCCUGAUUGCCUGGAAAAAUAAAAAUAAGCCUCCAUCUUUUUUUUUUGCGAGGAAAAAUAAACCUUCAUCAAUCAAAUAUUUUUCUGUAGACUCCUCUAUAUGGUCGCUACCUCGUUCUCUCCUUCGGAUCUGCUCUCCUACCAUUGGCCGGAGUUGCAUGGAGGCGGUCGAGAUUGGCGUCUAGAUGACACCGGCUGUGCAAGGCAAGGAAAUACUUGCAUCGAGUCAAAAUUCAAGACUAAUUGAUAUAAUACAUGAGAUGAAGAGCCAGGAAGUCGGAUUACAAGUAAGUUAGAUUUUUUUUCAUUAAUUGAUUUUAAGGAAUAAAAUUAUUGUUGUGAAAUCACAAAAUCAGACUAUAGUUUAGAUUUCUUGGAUUGGACAUGUUGGCCCACUUAAUUUAUGAAUUACUUUUCAUUGGUGGAAUUUGGUUUGUGCAGAUAAAGCACAUGGGGCUGCCGAUCAGUGUCCACAGUAAUGAGUAGUACAUCACAUCAUUCUUCUGCUAUAUACUCUGUAGUAAUACUAUUUUAUGGGCUAACUACAUAAUAGCAAAUGUAAGAGACGACAUUCUAAAUAUAAAAAAUAUCCAUUAUAUUGGAAAACAAAAGAUAUCCCUGUGAUCGAACAAAAUUUUAAUCGAUCUUCCACCUCCAUAAGUACUUUUUUUAAAUUUAAAUCCAGUUAGAGUUUUUGCUACAUCGUAUUGUUCCUAAUAAAUGAUUUGAACAUGGGAGGUCAUAGCCAUAUUUGCACACUCCAAGACAACGAGCUUUAUAUAGAAAAUUCUUUAAUCUUUUAGAUAUGCCCUCUAAACAGACAGGGAAUGAGUAUCAAUAUUAAAAGUGCUAGUCCGUGCAGAUGCACAGGUUGAUGACUAGCGAGUACAAUCAUCUACUUGAAGUACAACACAAGCUAGAACAAAUCCUAGUCAAUCUCGUCUUUUGUAAUAAACAUUAUACUCAACAGUAAGAAACAUAAAAAGGGACCGGCCUGUCAGCCUGGGUAGCCAUGUUGCAUCCCCAACUCGUUCGUCGUCUACCACCAGCGAUGGCCCUACCGCAUGCACUAGCUCACCACACUCCCCUCCUAACCUGCCAGCAUCAUUUCUAAUCUCACAACUUGUGAACCCUUGCAAGUGGCAGAUGUCUAACAAUCUUUCUUCACUUGCAAACAUCCAUUCCAGACUUCCAGUAGUUAACACACCAAAUUGUGAGUUCCUGUGCAGGUGCGAAGAUGAGGAACUGGCAAGGCUUGAGAAGAAGCUCGACAGGAUCGAGCGCAUAUGCAAUGUUGUCACCUUGAUUUGCAUCCCGGUGAUAGUCGUGCGGAGGGGAUCCUUAACGUCAUGUCGUAGGGGCAGGCCGGUAUCAGCUUUGGUUUCUUAGCAAUUUAAUGAUGCUUCAAGCCCUCAUGCUUUUAUGUUUGCGAGACUAUCAUGCUGUGUUGGCUCCGUGUAACCUCAGUAGACCUAUGAGGGAGUCCUGGGUUAGGGGGUGUUCGGGUAGCCGAACUAUACCUUCGCCGGACUCCAGGACCAUGAAGAUACAAGAUUGAAGACUUCGUCCCGUGUCUGGAUGAGACCUUCCUUGGCAUGGAAGGCAAGCUUGGCGAUGCGGAUAUUCAAGAUCUCCUACCAUUGUAACCGACUCUGUGUAACCCUAACCCUAUCCGGUGUCUAUAUAAACCGGAUGGUUCUAGUCCGUAGGACAACUUCAUCAUACACAAUCAUACCAUAGGCUAGUUUCUAGGGUUUAGCCUCCUUAAUCUCGUGGUAGAUCUACUCUUGUACUACCCAUAUCAUCAAUAUUAAUCAAGCAGGAGUAGGGUUUUACCUCCAUCGAGAGGGCCCGAACCUGGGUAAAACAAAGUGUCCCUUGUCUCCUGUUACCAUCCGACCUUGACGCACAGUUCGGUACCCCCUACCCGAGAUCCGCCGGUUUUGACACCGACAUUGGUGCUUUCAUUGAGAGUUCCUCUGUGUCGUCGCCUUUAGGCCCGAUGGCUCCUUUGAUCAUCAACAACGACGAGGUCCAGGGUGAGACUUUUCUCACCGGACAGAUCUUCGUCUUCGGCGGCUUCGCUCUGCGGGCCAAUUCGCUUGGUCAUCUAGAGCAGAUCGAAAGCUACGCCCCUGGCCAUCAAGUCAGGUUUGGAAGCUUGAUCUUCGACGGGUUCGAGCCACAGCCAAGCGCGCUGCACUAUCUCGAGGGGCACGAUCUAGCUAUGCCUCCGAAAAGUGUCCUGGAGGCCGCACACGCACCGGUUUCGACUCUUGACUCGGAGCCUACUGCGCUAAUUGGGGAUGAAUGGUUUGACGUCACCUCGGGGGAUGCGAUCGCAAAGGCGAUCGAGCCGAACGCUAGCCCCACACUCCGCACGGCCCAUGACUCUGAGGAGCCGGAUUCUUCUCCAAACUCCGAGCCUCCCGCGCCCCCGCCAGUCGAAGCCGAUUGGGCGCCGAUAAUGGAGUUCACCGCCGCGGACAUCUUUCAGCACUCACCUUUUGGUGAUAUCCUGAAUUCUCUCAAGUCUCUCUCUUUAUUAGGAGAGCCCUGGCCGUAUUACGGUCUGCGAGGAUGGGAUACGGACGAUGAAGAAAUUCAAAGCCCUCCCACCACCCACUUGGUAGCCACUGUCGACGAUUUAACCGACAUGCUUGACUUCGGAUCCGAAGAGUUCGACGGUAUGGACGACGAGGUAGGAGAUGAACAGAAACCAGCACCUGUAGGGCGCUGGACGGCCACCUCGUCAUAUGACGUAUACAUGGUGGAUACUCCAAAGGAUGGAGAUGGCGAUGGAACAGCGAGGGAUGACACCUCCAAUAAACAACCAAAGCGCCGGCGUCAGCGGCGCUGCUCUAAAUCCCGCCAAAGCAAAAAUGAUGAUUCCGGCUCGGGAGAUAAUACUACCCCGGAUAGCGCCGAAGAACACCCAACCCAGCAAGAUUCAGCGCAGGAAGAUGGAGAAGCCAGCCCUCAUGAGAGAGCGGCAGAACAAGAGGUUGAGGAUGAUAACUAUAUGCCUCCCUCCGAAGACGAGGCAAGCCUCGAUGACGACGACUUCAUCGUACCAUCAGACCCCGCCGAAGAAGAGUGUUUCAAACGCAGGCUUUUAGCCACGGUGAACAGCCUAUAGAAAAAGCAGCAACAGCUUAGAGCUGAUCAAGAUUUGCUAGCUGACAGAUGGACUGAAGUCCUUGCGGCCGAAGAGUACGAACUUGAGCGCCCCUCCAAGAAUUAUCCUAAGCGCAGGCCGCUACCCCGAUCAGAGGAGGAAGCGCCUACAUCACCAGCGCACGACAUGGCGGACCAGCCACCUCGCGGUCGUGACAGAGAGGCCUGUCGAACCUCCACCCAAGCCAUGCCCCGACGCCGCUCAACCAAGGCACGGGAAAAUGCGCCAGACCUGUGAGAUGUACUGGAGGAUAAAGCAAGGCAAACAAGAUCGAUCUACGGAUCGCGCAGGCACCCGACAGCACGUGACGAUGAUCUUCACUCCGGACACAAUAAAUCCGGCCGGGCCGAACACAACAGACAUAGCUCUUCCGAGCUGCGUCGUGACAUAGCCCAAUACAGGGGUGCCGCACACCCACUAUGCUUCACAGAUGAAGUAAUGGAUCAUAAAAUCCCAGAGGGUUUCAAACUCGUAAACAUCGAAUCGUACGAUGGCACGACAGAUCCGGCGGUAUGGAUCGAGGAUUAUCUCCUUCACAUCCACAUGGCACGUGGCGAUGAUCUACACGCCAUCAAAUACCUCCCUAUCAAACUGAAAGGACCGGCCCGGCACUGGCUUAAUAGCCUGCCAGCGGACUCAAUCGGUUCUUGGGAGGACAUGGAAGCCGCAUUCCUCGACAACUUCCAGGGCACUUAUGUGCGACCACCGGACGCCGACGACCUAAGCCACAUAAUUCAGCAGCCAGAGGAAUCGGCCAGGCAAUUCUGGACACGGUUCCUAACAAAGAAAAACCAGAUCGUCGACUGUCCGGACCCAGAGGCCCUAGCGGCCUUCAAGCAUAACAUCCGCGACGAGUGGCUUGCCCGGCACCUGGGACAGGAAAAGCCGAAAUCUAUGGCAGCCCUCACGACACUCAUGACCCGCUUUUGCGCGGGCGAAGAUAGCUGGCUAGCUCACAGCAACAACUUAUCAAAGAACCUUGGUAAUUCGGAUACCAAGGACAAGAGUGGCAGGACACGUCGAAAUAAGCAAAAGCGCUGUGUUAGCAGCGACAGCAAUGAAGAUACGGCAGUAAAUGCCGGAUUCAGAGGCUAUAAAUCUGGUCAGCGGAAAAAGCCAUUUAAAAAGAAUACUCAGGGCCUGUCCAGUUUGGACCGAAUACUCGACCGCUUGUGCCAGAUCCAUGGCACCCCCGAAAGGCCAGCCAAUCACACCAACAGGGAUUGUUGGGUGUUUAAGCAGGCAGGCAAGUUGAGAGCCAAAAACAAAGACAAGGGGCUGCAUAGCGAUGACGAGGAGGAGCCCAGGCCGCCGAACAACAAUGGACAGAAGGGGUUUCCCCCACCAGUGCGGACGGUGAACAUGAUAUACGCAACCCACAUUCCCAAGAAGGAGCGGAAGCGUGCGCUACGGGACGUAUACGCGAUGGAGCCAGUCGCCCCAAAGUUCAACCCAUGGUCCUCUUGCCUGAUCACUUUUGAUCGAAGGGACCACCCCACUAGCAUCCGUCAUGGCGGCUUUGCCGCAUUGGUUCUCGACCCAAUCAUCGACGGAUUUCAUCUCACAGGAGUCCUCAUGGACGGCGGCAGUAGCCUGAACCUGCUUUAUCAGGAUAAAGUGCGGAAAAUGGGCAUAGAUCCAUCAAGGAUUAAGCCCACAAGGACGACCUUUAAAGGCGUUAUACCAGGUGUAGAAGCCAACUGUACAGGCUCCGUAACACUUGAUGUGGUCUUCGGAUCUCCGGAUAACUUCCGAAGCGAAGAGUUAAUCUUCGACAUAGUCCCGUUCCGCAGUGGCUAUCACGCCCUGCUCGGACGAACCGCAUUUGCCAAAUUCAAUGCGGUGCCGCACUACGCAUACCUCAAGCUCAAGAUGCCAGACCCUCGAGGAGUAAUCACGGUCAACGGAAACACCGAACGGUCCCUCCGUACGGAGGAGCACACGGCGUCUCUCGCAGCGGAAGUACAAAGCAGUCUUUUUAGGCAACUCUCCAGUACGGCCGUUAAAAAGCCAGACAAGGCCAAGCGCGCCCGGAGUAACCUACAACAAGACCGCCUGCCACGUUCUGAGCAGGCGUAGCAAUGCGGCCCCAACCCCAGCCAUCGCGACAUAGCGGAGCUAGUACCUCGCGUACAUAAUUACGCCCUUGAAAUUCCAUGGGCACAGGGGAAGGGGCACGCAUGCUCACAAUACGGCUUAAAACGUACUAGGGGCUGCCAGAUUCUUUUUAUUAGUUCCAGGACUCCACACUUUGGACGACAUGUUCGGCUAUUCGGCUGCCGCACAAACGAUGCAAUAUUCAGGGAAGUAGACAAAGCUAUGCCGCAUUAUGGAACUCUCAAGUGGUCUCUAUUUAGAGCGGUAUAUCUAUUUCAAACACAAUUCCGUGGCCUGCCCCUGGUCAGGACAUGUUAAAUAGUCUAAUAUCUUUUUCCUUAUUGCACUACUUGUAUCGUUCAGCUUUGGUAAAUAGCCUCUUUAUAAACAAUGCAUAGCUUUUUAUCUAUUUUUUGCAUUGUUCUCUUUUAAUAUAUAUGUUUAUCAAAUAACAUGAUCGCACCCGUACACCAUGGUACGGCAAACACGCCAGGGGCUUCAUUACCCUUCGAUCUGGUGUGAGAAGUCCGUACACUUUCACAAGUGCGGCACCCCGAACUUAUAGCACUAUAUGCAUCGGCUCCGAAUCAUGAUUUGGGUCAAUAGUUGGGUUUGCCCGGCUCCUAUGUUUUGGUGCCUUAUGUUCCUCUAUAUCGGCUAAGGUAGCACUAGGAGAACCACUGCGAUUGUGCCCCGGUUCAGCUGGGUUAAGCACCUCAGUGGAGAAAGCUAAAACUGACUGUCAUGAUAAGGCAAGAGACCGGUCGCUGUUCGAGAGGUUUUUCGAGUCCCUAAAGACUUAUGCCGCUUCGAGCGAGGAGCUGGCUCUGUCCAGCCAAAGGCGUGGAUAGCGCCCCGAAUUCGGUCUUCCGAACUAGGGGCUUCGCCGAAAUUUAAAAUUAUAAAGUUCUAUGGCUAAGUGAGAGUGUUCAAGCAUUAUAGUUCGAUUGCCUGGUUCAUUGUGCUGAGCGCCUCCCUCAAAGGACCCAACCAUGGGAAAAAAGAGCGCUCAGGUUUAUCCCUAACACCCCAGCACUAGCGGCAUGGGGGCAGAAGCCGACGACUGGCCAUCUCUCAAUUUUUGAUAAACGGCCGCACAGAAAAUAAUAUUUUAAAUUCCAUAAGUAUUGCUUAGCGCAUAUGAACAAGUUUUCAGCGCACAGGAUAAACACGAGCGAGUUCAUUCAAAUAUUACAUCCUUAGUACAUUCAUCCGCAAUAAGGCGGGCACCGGCAAUAACAUCCUUGUAGUAGUUCUCGGGCUUGCGAUGCUCCUUCCCCUGCGGCGGCCCGUCCUUCACUAGCUUCUCUCCGUCAAGCUUACCCCAGUGCACCAUUACACGGGCAAGGGCCCUGUCACGACCGGUUUUCCAAUAAAAAUAUUUAUUAAGAAACUGAUCUGUUGAGUCCAGUAUGAGGAAAACCCAUCAUACUGGUGGACAAUAACUUGAUACAAAUAGCCAGUAGCAUGAAUAUAUUGAAGGAAAUAUGCCCUAGAGGCAAUAAUAAAGUUAUUAUUUAUUUCCUUAUAUCAUGAUAAAUGUUUAUUAUUCAUGCUAGAAUUGUAUUAACCGGAAACAUAAUACAUGUGUGAAUACAUAGACAAACAGAGUGUCACUAGUAUGCCUCUACUUGACUAGCUCGUUAAUUAAAGAUGGUUAUGUUUCCUAACCAUGAACAAAGAGUUGUUAUUUGAUUAACGGGAUCACAUCAUUAGUUGAAUGAUCUGAUUGACAUGACCCAUUCCAUUAGCUUAGCACCCGAUCGUUUAGUAUGUUGCUAUUGCUUUUAUCCAUGACUUAUACAUGUUCCUUUGACUAUGAGAUUAUGCAACUCCCGUUUACCAUAGGAACACUUUGUGUGCUACCAAUCGUCACAACAUAACUGGGUGAUUAUAAAGGUGCUCUACAAGUGUCUCCGAAAGUAUUUGUUGGGUUGGCAUAUUUCGAGAUUAGGAUUUGUCACUCCGAAUGUCGGAGAGGUAUCUCAGGGCCUUCUCGGUAAUGCACAUCACAUAAGCCUUCCAAGCAUUGCAACCAAUGAGUUAGUUGCGAGAUGAUGUAUUACGGAACGAGUAAAGAGACUUGCCAGUAACGAGAUUGAACUAGGUAUUGGAUACCGACGAUCGAAUCUCGGGCAAGUAACAUACCGAUGACAAAGGGAACGACGUAUGUUGUUAUGCGGUCUGACCGAUAAAGAUCUUCGCAGAAUAUGUAGGAGCCAAUAUGGGCAUCCAGGUCCCGCUAUUGGUUAUUGACCGGAGACGUGUCUCGGUCAUGUCUACAUUGUUCUCGAACCGUAGGGUCGGCACGCUUAAGGUUACGAUGACAGUUAUUAUGAGUUUUGAUGUACCGAAGGAGUUCGGAGUCCCGGAUGAGAUCGGGGACAUGACGAGGAGUCUCGAAAUGGUCGAGACGUAAAGAUCGAUAUAUUGGACGACUAUAUUCGGAGUUCGGAAAGGUUCCGAGUGAUUCGGGUAUUUUUCGGAGUACCGGGGAGUUACGGGAAUACGGGGGAGAAGUAUUGGGCCUUAUUGGGCCAUACGGGAAAGAGAGAGGGGCUGCCUAGGGCAGGCCGCGCGCCCCUCCAAGGCCUAGUCCGAAUUGGACUAGGGGGAGGGGCCGCGCCCCCUCCUUCCUUCCCUUCUCUUUUCCUCUUCCUUGUCUCCUACUCCUAAUACAUGGAAGGUCUCCUAGUUGGACUAGGAAAAGGGGAAUCCUACUCCCAGUGGGAGUAGGACUCCCCAGGGCGCGCCAUAGAGAGGGCCGGCCCUCCCCUCCUCCACUCCUUUAUAUAUGGGGGCAGGGGGCACCCCAUAGACACACAAGUUGAUCCUUGAGAUCGUCCCUUAGCCGUGUGCGGUGCCCCCCUCCACCAUAUUCCACCUCGGUAGUAUUGUCGCAGUGCUUAGGCGAAGCCCUGCGUCGGUAGUUCAUCAAGAUCGUCACCACGUCGUCGUGCUGACGGAACUCAUCCCCGGAGGUUUUGCUGGAUCGGAACACCGGGGACGUCAUCGAGCUGUACGUGUGUCCAGAACUCGGAGGCAUCAGAGUAACGGUGCUGGGAUCGGUUGGAUCGCGUGGAGAACGUAUGACUACUUCCACUACGCUGUGUCAAUGCUUCCGCUUCGGUCUACAAGGGUACGUAGACAACACUCUCCCCUCUCGUUGCUAUGCAUCACCAUGAUCUUGCGUGUGCGUAGGAAUUUUUUUGAAAUUACUACGUUCCCCAACAGUGGUAUCAGAGCCUAGGUUUUUAUGCUUAGAUGUUAUGCAUGAGUAGAACACAAGUGAGUUGCGGACGAUACAAGUCAUACUGCCUACCAGCAUGUCAUACUUUGGUUCAGCGGUAUUGUUGGAUGAAGCGGGCCGGACCGACAUUACGCGUACGUUUACGCGAGACUGGUUCUACCGACGUGCUUUGCACACAGGUGGCUGGCGGGUGUCAGUUUCUCCAACUUUAGUUGAACCGAGUGUGGCUACGCCCGGUCCUUGAGAAGGUUAAAACGGAGUCUAUUUGAAGAAGUAUCGUUGUGGUUUUGAUGCGUAGGUGAGAUUGGUUCUUGCUUCAGCCCGUAGCAGCCACGUAAAAUUUGCAACAAAGUAGAGGACGUCUAACUUGUUUUUGCAGGGCAUGUUGUGAUGUGAUAUGGUUAAGACAUGAUGCUAUAUUUUAUUGUAUGAGAUGAUCAUGUUUUGUAACCGAGUUAUCGGCAACCGGCAGGAGCCGUAUGGUUGUCGCUUUAUUGUAUGCAAUGCAAUCGCCCUGUAAUGCUUUACUUUAUGACUAAGCGGUAGCGAUAGUCGUAGAAGCAUAAGAUUGGCGAGACGACAAUGACGCUACGAUGGAGAUCAAGGUGUCGCGCCGGUGACGAUGGUGAUCAUGGUGGUGCUGCAGAGAUGGAGAUCACGAAGCACAAGAUGAUGAUGACCAUAUCAUAUCACUUAUAUUGAUUUGCAUGUGAUGUUUAUCUGUUAUGCAUCUUAUCUUGCUUUGAUUGACGGUAGCAUUAUAAGAUGCUCUCACUAAAUUAUCAAGAAGUGUUCUCCCUGAGUAUGCACCGUUGCCAAAGUUCGUCGUGCUCAGACACCACGUGAUGAUCGGGUGUGAUAAGCUCUACGUCCAUCUACAACGGGUGCAAGCCAGUUUUGCACACGCGGAAUACUCGGGUUAUACUUGACGAGCCUAGCAUAUGCAGAUAUGGCCUCGGAACACGGAGACCGAAAGGUCGAGCGUGAAUCAUAUAGUAGAUAUGAUCAACAUGAUGAUGUUCACCAUUGAGAACUAAUCCAUUUCAUGUGAUGAUCGGUUAUGGUUCAGUUUGAUUUGGAUCACGUGAUCACUUAGAGGAUUCGAGGGAUGUCUAUCUAAGUGGGAGUUCUUAAGUAAUAUGAUUAAUUGAACUUUAAUUUAUCAUGAACUUAGUCCUGGUAGUAUUUUGCAAAUUAUGUUGUAGAUCAAUAGCUCGCGUGGUUGCUUCCCUGUGUUUAUUUUGAUAUGUUCCUAGAGAAAAUUAUGUUGAAAGAUGUUAGCAGGAAUGUUGCGGAUUGGAUCCGUGAUCUGAGGUUUAUACUCAUUGCUGCACAGAAGAAUUAUGUCCUUGAUGCACCGCUAGGUGACAGACCUAUUGCAGGAGUAGAUACAGACGUUAUGAACGUUUGGCUAGCUCAAUUUGAUGACUACUUAAUAGUUUAGUGCACCAUGCUUAACGGCUUAGAAUCGGGACUUCGAAGACGUUUUGAACGUCAUGGACCAUAUGAGAUGUUCCAGGAGUUGAAGUUAAUAUUUCAAGCAAAUACCCGAGUUGAGAGAUAUGAAGUCUCCAACAAGUUCUAUAGCUAAAAGAUGGAGGAGAAUCGCUCAACUAGUGAGCAUGUGCUUAGAUUGUCUGAGUACUACAAUCGCUUGAAUCAAGUGGGAGUUAAUCUUCCAGAUAAGAUAGUGAUUGACAGAAUUCUCUAGUCACCAUCACCAAGUUAGUAGAACUUCGUGAUGAACUAUAAUAUGCAAGGGAUAACGGAAACGAUUCCCAAGCUCUUCGUGAUGCUGAAAUCGACGAAGGUAGAAAUCAAGAAAAACAUCAAGUGUUGAUGGUUAACAAGACCACUAGUUUCAAGAAAAGGGCAAAGGGAAGAAGGGGAACUUCAAGAAGAACGGCAAGCAAGUUGCUGCUCAAGUGAAGAAGCCCAAGUCUGGUCCUAAGCCUGAGACUAAGUGCUUCUACUGCAAAGGGACUGGUCACUGGAAGCGGAACUACCCCAAGUAUUUGGCGGAUAAGAAGGAUGGCAAAGUGAACAAAGGUAUAUUGGAUAUACAGAUUAUUGAUGUGUAUUUUACUAGUGUUCGUAGCAACCCCUCGGUAUUUGAUAUUGGUUCAGUUGCUAAGAGUAGUAACUCGAAACGGGAGUUGCAGAAUGAACAGAGACUAGUUAAGAGUGAAGUGACGAUGUGUGUUGGAAGUAGUUCCAAGGUUGAUAUGAUCAUCAUCGCACUCUCCCUAUACUUUCGGGAUUAGUGUUGAAACUAAAUAAGUGUUAUUUGGUGUCUGCGUUGAGCAUAAAUAUGAUUUGAUCAUGUUUAUUGCAAUACGGUUAUUCAUUUAAGUUAGAGAACAAUUGUUGUUCUGUUUACAUGAAUAAAACCUUCUAUGGUCAUACACACCAACAAAAUGGUUUGUUGGAUCUCGAUCGUAGUGAUACACAUAUUCAUAAUAUUGAAACCAAAAGAUGUGAAGUUAAUAAUGAUAGUGCAACCUAUUUGUGGCACUGCUGUCUAAGUCAUAUUGGUGUAAAGCGCAAGAAGAAACUCCAUGCUGAUGGGAUUUUGGAAUCACUUGAUUAUGAAUCACUUGUUGCUUGCAAACCAUUCCUCUUGGGCAAGAUGACUAAAACGCCGUUCUCCGGAACAAUGGAGCGAGCAACAGAUUUGUUGGAAAUCAUACAUACUGAUGUAUGUGGUCCGAUGAAUAUUAAGGCUCGCGACAAGUAUCAUUAUUUUCUGAUCUUCACAGAUGAUUUGAGCAGAUAUGGGUAUAUCUACUUGAUGAAACAUAAGUCUGAAACGUUUGAAAAGUUCAAAGAAUUUCAGAGUGAAGUAGAGAAUCAUCGUAACAAGAAAAUAAAAGUUUCUACAAUAUGAUCGCAGAGGUAAAAUAUUUGAGUUACGAGUUUGGCCUGCAGUUAAAACAAUGUGAAAUAGUUUCACUACUCACGCCACCUGGAACACCACAGUGUAAUGGUGUGUCCGAACGUCAUAACCGUACUUUAUUAGAUAUAGUGCGAUCUAUGAUGUCUCUUACCGAUCUACCACUAUCGUUUUGGGGUUAUGCAUUAGAGACAGCUGCAUUCACGUUAAAAAGGGCACCAUCUAAAUCCGUUGAGAUGACACCGUAUGAACUGUGGUUUGGCAAGAAACCAAAGUUGUUGUUUCUUAAAAGUUUGGAGUUGCGAUGCUUAUGUGAAAAGGUUUCAUCAUGAUAAGCUCGACCCAAAUCGGAGAAAUGCGUCUUCAUAGGAUACCCAAAGGAGAUUGUUGGGUACACCUUCUAUCACAGAUCCGAAGGCAAAAUCGUUGCUAAAGAUGGAUCCUUUCUAGAGAAGGAGUUUCUCUCGAAAGAAGUGAGUGGGAGGAAAGUAGAACUUGAUGAGGUAACUGUACCUGCUCUCUUAUUGGAAAGUAGUUCAUCACAGAAAUCUGUCCCUGUGACUACUACACCAAUUAAGUGAGGAAGCUAAUGAUGAUGAUCAUGUAACUUCAGAUCAAGUUACUACCGAAUCUCGUAGGUAAACCAGAGAGAGAUCCGCACCAGAGUGGUACGGUAAUCCUGUUCUGGAAGUCAUGUUACUAGACCAUGACGAAUUUGCGAACUAUGAAGAAGCGAUGGUGAGCCCAGAUUCCGCAAAAUGGCUGGAGGCCAUGAAAUCUGAGAUGGGAUCCAUGUAUGAAAACAAAGUGUGGACUUUGGUUGACUUACCCGAGGGUCGGCAAGCAAUAGAGAACAAGUGGAUCUUUAAGAAGAAGACUGACGCCGACGGUAAUGUUACUGUCUACAAAGCUCGACUUGUCGCAAAGGGGUUUUCGACAAGUUCAAAGGAUUGACAAUGAUGAGACCUUCUCACCUGUAGCGAUGCUUAAGUCUGUCCGAAUCAUGUUAGCAAUUGCCGCAUUUUAUGAUUAUGAAAUUUGGCAAAUGGAUGUAAAGACUGCAUUCCUGAAUGGGUUUCUGGAAGAAGAGUUGUAUAUGAUGCAACCAGAAGGUUUUAUCGAUCCAAAGGGAGCUAACAAAAUAUGCAAGCUCCAGCGAUCCAUCUGUGGACUAGUGCAAGCAUCUCGGAGUUGGAAUACACGCUUUGAUAAGUUGAUCAAAGCAUAUAAUUUUAUACAGACUUGCGGUGAAGCCUGUAUUUACAAGAAAGUGAGUGGGAGCACUACAGCAUUUCUGAUAAGUAUAUGUAUGACAUAUUGUGGAUCAGAAAUAAUGUAGAAUUAUUCUGUAAAGCACAAAGGAGUGUUUGAAAGGAGUUUUUCAAAGGAAGACCUCGGUGAAGCUGCUUAGAUAUUGAGCAUCAAUAUCUAUAGAGAUAAAUCAAGACGCUUGAUAAGUUUUUUCAAUGAGUACAUACCUUGACAAGAUUUUGAAGUAGUUCAAAAUGGAACAGUCAAAGAAAGAGUUCUUGCCUGUGUUACAAGGUGUGAAGUUGAGUAAGACUCAAUAACCCGACCAUGGCAGAAGAUAGAAAGAGAAUGAAAGUCAUUCCCUAUGCCUUGGCCAUAGGUUCUAUAAAGUAUGCCAUGCUGUGUACCAGAUCUAUUACAUACCCUACCACAGAGUUUGGCAAGGGAGUACAAUAGUGAUCUAGGAGUAGAUCACUGGACAGCGGUCAAAAUUAUCCUUAGUGGAAUAAGGAUAUGUUUCUCGAUUAUGGAUGUGACAAAAGGUUCAUCGUAAAGGGUUACAUCGAUGCAAGUUUUGACACUAAUCUAGAUGACUCUAAGUCUCGGUCUAGAUACAUAUUGAAAGUGGGAGCAAUUAGCUAAGAGUAGCUCCGUACAGAGUAUUGUUGACAUAGAAAUUUGCAAAAUACAUACGGAUCUGAAUUUGGCAGACCCGUUGACUAAGAUUCUCUCACAAGCAAAACAUGAUCACACCUUAGUACUCUUUGGGUGUUAAUCACAUAGCGAUGUGAACUAGAUUACUGACUCUAGUAAACCCUUUGGGUGUUGAUCACAUAUCGAUGUGAACUAUGGGUGUUAAUCACAUGGUGAUGUGAACUAUUGCUGUUAAAUCACAUGGCGAUGUGAACUAGAUUAUUGACUCUAGUGCCAGUGGGAGACUGAAGGAAAUAUGCCCUAGAGGCAAUAAUAAAGUUAUUAUUUAUUUCCUUAUAUCAUGAUAAAUGUUUAUUAUUCAUGCUAGAAUUGUAUUAACCGGAAACAUAAUACAUAUGUGAAUACAUAGACAAACAGAGUGUCACUAGUAUGCCUCUACUUGACUAGCUCGUUAAUCAAAGAUGGUUAUGUUUCCUAACCAUGAACAAAGAGUUGUUAUUUGAUUAACGGGAUCACAUCAUUAGUUGAAUGAUAUGAUUGAUAUGACCCAGUCCAUUAGCUUAGCACCCGAUCGUUUAGUAUGUUGCUAUUGCUUUUAUCCAUGACUUAUACAUGUUCCUUUGACUAUGAGAUUAUGCAACUCCCGUUUACCGUAGGAACACUUUGUGUGCUACCAAACGUCACAACGUAACUGGGUGAUUAUAAAGGUGCUCUACAGGUGUCUCCGAAAGUAUUUGUUGGGUUGGCGUAUUUCGAGAUUAGGAUUUGUCACUCCGAAUGUCAGAGAGGUAUCUCAGGGCCUUCUCGGUAAUGCACAUCACAUAAGCCUUGCAAGCAUUGCAACCAAUGAGUUAGUUGCGAGAUGAUGUAUUACGGAACGAGUAAAGAGACUUGCCAGUAACGAGAUUGAACUAGGUAUUGGAUACCGACGAUCGAAUCUCGGGCAAGUAACAUACCGAUGACAAAGGGAACGACGUAUGUUGUUAUGCGGUCUGACCGAUAAAGAUCUUCGCAGAAUAUGUAGGAGCCAAUAUGGGCAUCCAGGUCCCGCUGUUGGUUAUUGACCGCAGACGUGUCUCGGUCAUGUCUACAUUGUUCUCGAACCGUAGGGUCGGCACGCUUAAGGUUACGAUGACAGUUAUUAUGAGUUUUGAUGUACCGAAGGAGUUCGGAGUCCCGGAUGAGAUCGGGAACAUGACGAGGAGUCUCGAAAUGGUCGAGACGUAAAGAUCGAUAUAUUGGACGACUAUACUCGGAGUUCGGAAAUGUUCCGAGUGAUUCGGGUAUUUUUCGGAGUACCGGGGAGUUACGGGAAUACGGGGGAGAAGUAUUGGGCCUUAUUGGGCCAUACGGGAAAGAGAGAGGGGCUGCCUAGGGCAGGCCGCGCCCCCCCCCCCAAGGCCUAGUCCGAAUCGGACUAGGGGGAGGGGCCGCGCCCCCUCCUUCCUUCCCUUCUCUUUUCCUCUUCCUUGUCUCCUACUCCUAAUACAUGGAAGGUCUCCUAGUUGGACUAGGAAAAGGGGAACCCUACUCCCAGUGGGAGUAGGACUCCCCAGGGCGCGCCAUAGAGAGGGCCGGCCCUCCCCUCUUCCACUCCUUUAUAUACGGGGGCAGGGGGCACCCCAUAGACACACAAGUUGAUCCUUGAGAUCGUCCCUUAGCCGUGUGCGGUGCACCUCUCCACCAUAUUCCACCUCGGUAGUAUUGUCGCAGUGCUUAGGCGAAGCCCUGCGUCGGUAGUUCAUCAAGAUCGUCACCACGCCGUCGUGCUGACGGAACUCAUCCCCGGAGGUUUUGCUGGAUCGGAACACCGGGGACGUCAUCGAGCUGUACGUGUGUCAAGAACUCAGAGGCAUCGGAGUAACGGUGCUGGGAUCGGUUGGAUCGCGUGGAGAACGUACGACUACUUCCACUACGCUGUGUCAACGCUUCCGCUUCAGUCUACGAGGGUACGUAGACAACACUCUCCCCUCUCGUUGCUAUGCAUCACCAUGAUCUUGCGUGUGCAUAGGAAAUUUUUUGAAAUUACUACGUUCCCCAACAUAUAUUACAUGGGUCGAGCUGGGAUGCUCAACGAUUAUUACAAGCGCGCCAAUAAUUAUACAUAAUGGCGGAUACAACGCAAUGGUGUGGUGGCAUACUACUAACACGAGAUUAAAGGGGUGGUGGACUAACACAAUGGAGAGUGGAUAGCACAGUUCGUGAACUGGCAUCUCAUCGAGCGUCGAGGUGAGGCUCAAUGAAUUUAUUUGGGUAGCGGAAGCGGAUAUAAUACAGUGACCAAAUCCAGGGUCGAACGUGACUGACUGGGACUCCUCUAGGCGUCGGACUCGCUAUCGAAUUCUUCAUCCAUGAGAUCGCCUUCGUCAGCAUCUGGCCAAAUCAACAAGCCAGGUGAGUACUUUGAAAGUACUCGCAAGACAGUUUGGACGUAAGAUAUAACAAAUGCAUGCAUGAAUGCGUCAUGAUUAAUUUGCCAAUGCAUAAUGAAAAUUUAGAGAGCAAGGUAAGUAAAAGGGAAUCAGCGGUAGUCCGCCUGAAAUCCCGACAGUAAAGUAAAUGAAACCAAUCGAGUGUCUGGAGUGACGCCACGAAAGGUAAACAAAUAAAUAAAAGGUGAAACAUGCCACAGUCGGGCGUCUAUGCGACACCACAUAAAGGGCUUAAAAGAAAUGCCGCAGUCGGGCGUCUGAGCGACACCACAUAAAGGGCUUAAAAGAAAUACCGCAGUCGGGCGUCUAAGCGACACCACAUAAAGGGCUUAAAAGGAAUGCCACAGUCGGGCGUCUAAGCGACACCAUAUAAAGGGCUUAAAAGAAAUGCCGCAGUCGGGCGUCUGAGCGACACCAGAUAAAGGGCUUAAAAGGAAUGCCGCAGUCGGGGCGUCUAAGCGACACCACAUAAAGAGCUUAAAAGAAAUGCCGCAGUCGGGCGUCUGAGCGACACCACAUAAAGGGCUUAUCCUGUCAAGGAAAUAAUUUCACAAUAAAUAUUCAAUUCUUAAAAAUAAACAGGUUAGUCCAUCCACAGGAUUAAACAUUUAACCAGACUUAGCGCUCAUGCGUUCCACCGGAUAAUCUGUCACCAAAACUGGCACUUGUCAGUUAGCACGGAACUUGGACAAGGAUAUGAUGAUAUGAAGAUUUAAGACUCUGCAGAGUUUGUACAAAAAUUUCCCACAGUUAACGGAUUUCCGUAGUCACGAGAACUAGUUCCGUUUACGGUAUUUCAGAAGAAAACACAGCUAACCAGUACACACCCAUCCAACCUCUCGAUGCCAGGAAUCACCCUAGACAUCGUCCAAGAAAAACUUUUGAGACGGGGAGAUCACAAUCUCGAAUAGCAUGGGAUCAAAAUUUAUAUACGCGCGCUCUAAGGGGUGCCCCCCUCUUGGUCCCAACCGGAAACACCCAUGCCCCCUGACCGGAUGACUGGCUUUAAUCCAGGGCCAUGGAACCAUCAUCCCGGCCUCUCCUUUUUGGUGUGUACCAGGAAAGCGGUUUGCAACUUACUAAGCCAUAUCCCUUGCGGAAAACAUGUGGUAGUACAGGGAGGGAAAUGGAUAGGAACCAACCGAUACGGGUUGGUGCUGAAGUUAACUUGCAUGGCAUAAGACUGGCAUGCUACAACACUGCCAUCUUACCCAUCCUUUUGCCAACACAUGGCCUUGCUUACUCACAUCCAACAACGUGUGGAUCAACCGAACUUACUUGCCCCGACAAUGCAUAAUAACGGUUCAUCGGUUUGCUCCACAACAUGCCAUGAAACUAACUAAAAUGCAAAACAUGCCAAGACACUCAUCAUAUCAAAAGUUCAAACAUGCUUGCCUGGUUCAGAGUAGUCGGAGUCUAGCUCGGUGAAGUUUACGGUCCCGUCACCUCCGUCGGUAUCUACGGUAAUAAGAGGAUACACGCACUAUCGUAAAUACCAAGAGGUGCAAAAAAACAAUUAUCCAAAUAAUUUUUAAAUAAAUCUGAUAAAAAACUAGACAAAAUUUUGAAGAGAACAGAAAAAGAAUCACUCAAAAAUAUGCUGCUGUUAAAAAGUUAUAAAGGUUUUUGUCUAGGGACCCAUCUGUAAUGAAACAGAAACUUCCCAGGGUUCUUUUUAUAAAAACAGAAAACGUUUCAGUCUCAACUACGCCGGCUCAGAGGAGAAGACGUAUUUUGCCCGAAGGCGUUUUCCAGAAAAUGAUUCAUUUAAAACGAGCUGAGAGGCUGACGGGCGGGUCCCACCCGUCAGGUUCAAAUUCAAAAGAGGCGGGUCGGGGCUCGUUGGCGCCCGAGGGCCGCGGCGGUCGCCGGCGGCGAUCCACGGCGAGGUAGGGAGAUCGGAUAGUACCUCCGUGCUCAGGGAGCCAUUCCGCGUCGGGUGGUGGUGGUGGUGGUCGCCGGGAAGCACCACGUUGACGGUGGCUCCUGCUCCGGCGGACGGCGGUUCGGGCGUGGAUGGAGCUCGCCGGAGAGGGCUGCAUGCAUGAAAUUUAGGCGGGGGUCAGGCCUCUGGUAGCUAGAGGAGGUGAUUGACGGAGUUUGGGCACCGGGGACGACCUCACCAAAGUGAAUCAAGCUGGAGGCCGAGGCGGAACGGGGUGGCCAGAGUUGGGGGAGGAGACCUCCUCGAGGUCCUCCCAGUGGCCUGGAGGGGCGUUGGUGGAGUGUAGGGGUGGUGCGUGCUCGAGGGAGAGCUCGGGGUCUCUUUUUAUAGGCGAUCUGAGGCGGUGGCCGAGAACGGCGUUCUCCGGUGAUGGAUUAUGGCGGUGCAGUGCUUGGUCGGGAGAGUUUAGGAGCUGAGCGCCGUCGUGGAGGUUCGUGGAGUCUUUUUAGGUGCCAACAGCGCCAGGUUUUGCUUGCUUGGGUGGAGUUUGACGGAACGGGACGGCGUGGGUCCGUCGGCGGCAGAGAGCACGCGCUGUGCGUGUCGCGCCAUGGCGACGGUGCUGCAUGCGUGCGCUGGCGCGGAGAUGGCCACGCGGAGCCAUCAGCGGGGUUGGGCGGCGCUGAACGGCGUUGAGCCGCCGUUCUGCUCCCUGUUGGCUGCCACGGCGGUUCAGCCGCCGCAAGACACGCCGGCGUGGGCAGGCCAGGGCGCCACCGACGCCAGGAAGGUGCCAAGCACGCGUGCGGGGCUCCGGACAAGCAGGCCAGGCGGCGAGCAACGUGCCAAGGGCACUGUGGGCAUGUGACUGAAGUUAACUGACGAAGUUCGACACUGAAAUCUGAACUUAACUGAAUUUGACUGAAACAGUGCAUGCAGGGUGUUCGACAGAAUGAUCCAGGCAUGUAGGGAUUUUUCCUUGAGCUGAUUUUUGGUGGAGUGGCUCUUCAUUGCUCCAGUAGGCUGCCUGAUUUUUGGUGGAAUUUUUGGGUAAGUGGAAAUAUUAAUUUCACCAAAUUUGGCAAAUCUGGUCCAAACUUGCAGGGAGUGUAAUUUGAAAAAUUUGAAAAGGAGAAGAGUGGAUCAAGAUGGUUCUGGGUUGUGGGUACAAAGGACUAUCCAGGAGAGUUGGUUUGAAGUCAAAACUCAAAUGCAAUGAUGUACUUACUUUGAAAAUCAAUCAGGUCCAAAAUAAUUGACAAAAAAUAUUUGAGAGGUGAAAUAAUCAAAAUAAAAUCCAAAACUUGCUUGGAUGAGUUGGGACAGGGAAUUUAGGUUGAUAACAAGGAGGAGAGGAGGUUUUGGAGUGGCUUUACCUCAUGGGCAAAAAUACAAGGUCAUGGGUGGUUAUCAAAAGAAUGAAAGUCCCAAAUUUUCAUAGAGUUUUUAUUAUAAAAAGAAAAAGAUUAAACUCCCAAGAAAAAAAAUAUUUGUUUGGGAAGGGAACCAACAGAGGAGAAAUUUUAAAUGACCAAACCCAAGGCUUGAAGAAGAGAACAGAAAUAACAAUCCUAGCCAAAGAAAAGGAUUUUUAAGAGGAUGGUCUAUUUGGAUGUUUUCUUUAAAAAGCCUUAUUUCACGAAAGAAAAAACAACAAGGUUUUUGCUAAAAACCAGAUAAAAAUUUUGGAGUGUCACAGGCCCUCCGGGCACCUUCGAUGCAGGUGGAAUGCUUGAUGACCUCAAGCCGUGGACAGGCCUCCACCAGCCGCCGCAGCAGCCCGAAGUAGCUCCCAGGCAGGGCCUCUCCGGGCCACAGCCGAACUAGGAAGCCCUUCAUGGCUUGUUCGGCCGCCUUGUGGAGCUCGACCAGCUGUUUCAGCUGAUCGCUCAGAGGCACAGGGUGUCCGGCCUCAGAAUACUGAGACCAGAACACAUGCUCCAUCGAGCUGCCUUCUUCAGCUCGGUAGAAUGCGGCGGCAUCGGAUAUGCUACGGGGAAGAUCUGCGAACGCCCCUGGAGAACUCCGGAUUCGGGUAAGUGACAAAUAUUUUACUUUUAUAUUCCUACUUUGCAUUAAGAAUGCCUUAUCCGCUGCUAUCUUUUUCAUCUCCUCCAGCUCUUGGAGGGCCUUUUGGGCUUCGGCCUUGGCACCCUUGGCGGUCUCAAGGGCCGACGCGAGCUCGGAUGCUUGCGCCUUUGAUUCAAGCUCCAAGCUCUCAUGCUUUUUCAUGAGAGCCUGCAGCUCUUGCUGCACCUCGCCAACCUGAGCCCCAAGUCUUUCUCGCUCGGCGCGCUCCUCGGCCAUCUUCUUUCCGGCCUCAGAUAGCGCCUGGUUGAGGGUCGCCACCUCAGUUGUGGCCCCUACAAUAAGCAGUACGAUCCUGUUAUUCUUUGCAAUCACGCCUCUGUAUAGGCACCCCUUUUCUUUGUAGGGUAUUUCUUACCUUCUUUCUCCUCGAGCUUCCGUUUGGCAAGACCGAGCUCUUGCUCGGUCCGCCCGAGGUCCUUUUUUAGGACAUCCACCUGUGCAGUCAGUGCGGCGGUGGAUAGCAGCGAAGCCUGCAUACGCAUAUUGACUCUUUAUUGUUAGACUCCUGCGAAAAUUAAAAGAUCCUCUAUUCUGCUUUUCUUUCCAAAUGCCAAACAGAGCAUCAGGGGCUACUGUCUAUGCAGUAAUAUUUUGACAUAUUUUUACUUACCUCGAAGCCUGUCAGAAGGCUAGCGCAAGCUUCAGUCAGUCCGCUCUUGGCGGACUGAACCCUUCGGUUCACCGUACUCAUAACAGUACGGUGUUCCUCGCCGAUGGAGGCGCCAUCAAGCACCUCCAACAGAUUGUCCAGCGCCUCCGGUUGGACGGAGGUCGCCGGCUCAGAAGGCUUGCUCCUCUUGGAAGGAGUUCGCCUACCGCGGACCAGGACUGUUGAAGAGUCCGGCGCGGCGUCCGGCACAAAGCCGGACUCGGAGCCCUGGGGGGCCCUGUCCCCUUUACUCCUGGGGUCCGGGAGGUCGCCUUUCGGCUCCUCCAGGACCACCUCCUCCUGACCUGGAGCUUGUUGCGACACCACUUCGGCGUCGUCUGCAUUGCAGGGGGAGACAGCGGGCGGAACUGAGUUCACAUCCGACGAAUCCAGGGAGCCGCUCGACGAAGUCAAGUUCGGCCCGGGGCGGACGGCAUAUUCACAUUCGACAUUAAGGAAAGCUGCCAAUAAAGGAACACCAUGAGUUACUCUGGUAUAUGAAUACUUACGAUUUCGCCGGACGCUUGGCCCUGUCCGGCCACUCCUCUCCGCCCUCUUCGGCAUCGUGGGAGCAGUCCGGCGGAGGGGUCUUCCUUUUCCUAGACCCCUCGGCCUCCCCAGAUGGGGCGGCCUUCUUCUUUUCUCCCCCCGCUGGGGAGGAGAGCUUUCUUCUUCCUUCUCCUCGUUUUCACGAGAGGAGGGCGCCUUGGACUCGUCAGACGACGAGUCCGACACCACCAAGUUACGGGUACUCUUUCGAGUCCUGGUGAUCUUCUUCUUCUCAACCUUCUUCUCCAGCACCACGUAAGGUGCCGGAGUCAGCAGCUUCACUAGGAGAGCUGGGCUGGGUCUUCGGGCUGGGGAGCCGGACAGUUUAUUGGUCCGGAUAUCGCCUGCCAAGCCUGUCAAAGGUAAGGGAGUUUAGAUCCCGCAUAGAGUUAAUCUAUGAAAAAGAGCUUAAUAAUCCUGUCAAAGGCAUAGAUAGCUUACCUCGCUAGCGUGAUGCUACGUGUUGUAUCCGUGGUCCUCGGAAGCGGAUGCGGGAGCCUCGGCGCCUUUGAUUAGCACCUUCCAGACGUCUUCAUACGAUGUUUCGAAGAGCCUGUUAAGGGUUCGGUGCUGCGUCGGGUCAAACUCCCACAAAUUGAAAUCCCGUUGUUGGCACGGGAGGAUCAGGCGAACGAGCAUGACCUGGACUAUAUUGACCAGCCGGAUUGGCUUGUUUACCAGGGACUGGAUGCAGGUCUUCAGUCCGGUCACCUCUUUCUCGUUGCCCCACGACAGGCCCGUCUCUUUCCAGGACAUAAGCCGCGUGGGGGGUCCGGAUCUGAACUCGGGGGCUGCAACCCAUUUCGGAUCGCGUGGCUCGGUGAUGUAAAACCACCCGGCUUGCCACCCCUUUAGGGUCUCCACAAAGGAGCCCUCGAACCAGAGGAUGUUGGCUAUCUUGCCAGCCAUAGCACCUCCGCACUCCGCUUGGCUGCCGCACACCACCUUGGGCUUGACGUUGAAAGUCUUGAGCCAAAGGCUGAAAUGGGGGCGGACGCGGAGGAAGGCCUCACACACGACGAUAAACGCCGAGAUGUUGUGGAUGAAGUUCGGGGCCAGAUCGUGGAAAUCUAGGCCAUAGUAGAACAUGAGUCCCCGGACGAAUGGGUGAAGUGGAAAACCCAGUCCACGGAGGAAGUGGGGAAGGAAAACUACCCUCUCAUGGGGCCUUGGGGUGGAGAGAAGUUGCCCCUUCUCAGGAAGCCGGUGCGGGAUGUCCUUGGACAGGUAUCCGGCUUUCCUUAGCUUUUUUACUUGAACCUCCGUAACGGAGGAGACCAUCCACUUGCCUCCCGCUUCGGACAUUGCUGGAGAAGGUUGAGGUGGGAAGAGCGGGCUUGGGUGCUGGAGCUUGAGUGCGCGAGAGAUGGAUUGGCAAAGGAGGAAGAAGGCGUAGGUGAAAAGGUGGAUCCUUAUCCCCUUAUAUGGGCAGAUGUGGUUAUGCGUCCCCACCUACCUAAUAAAACUCGCUUGCCUCCCAAGCACCGUGGUAAAUGGCGCGGUUGGGUUUCCCACGUCCGUAUUGAUGAGAAUCCCGUAAAAGGGGCACACGAUCUCUGCUUUGACAAGACGUGCCAAGGAAACCGCCUCGCUAAACAUGUUGAGGUGGAGAAGUGAAAACAAUUUGUGAAAACAGUUAUGACGCACUGCAGAAUACGUCAGCAGAUUUGAUUUGUGUUAAUAUUAUUCUCUCUAUGGAAAUAUGUGAAAACUUGUUUUGCAGAGCCGGACACUAUUUUUGGUGUUUAUAAUCUUCUAUGAAGAACUUGGAGGAGGAACCCGCCUUGCAAUGCUGAAGGAAAUCUGCGUGCCGGACUCGUCGUCAUUGAAGCCUGGUUCAGGGGCUACUGAGGGAGUCCUGGAUUAGGGGGUGUUCGGGUAGCCAAACUAUACCUUCGCCGGACUCCAGGACCAUGAAGAUACAAGAUUGAAGACUUCGUCCCGUGUCUGGAUGGGACCUUCCUUGGCGUGGAAGGCAAGCUUGGCGAUGUGGAUAUUCAAGAUCUCCUACCAUUGUAACCGACUCUAUGUAACCCUAACCCUAUCCGGUGUCUAUGUAAACCGGAGGGUUCUAGUCCGUAGGACAACUUCAUUAUACACAAUCAUACCAUAGGCUAGCUUCUAGGGUUUAGCCUCCUUGAUCUCGUGGUAGAUCUACUCUUGUACUACCCAUAUCAUCAAUAUUAAUCAAGCAGGAGUAGGGUUUUACCUCCAUCGAGAGGGCCCGAACCUGGGUAAAACAAAGUGUCCCUUGUCUUCUGUUACCAUCCGACCUUGACGCACAGUUCGGGACCCCCUACCCGAGAUCUGCCGGUUUUGACACCGACAACCUACUUAAUUGCUAUGCUAAGCACCUGCUGCACACCUAAUUUAUGAACGGGAAGUUUACUGCUAAGGGGCAAGCCCUUCCUUAGUUGAAUAUAUCUGUUGUGCUGCAGUGGGCAUGUAUACAAAUGGAGUCUGUUGAACUGUGAUUUGGUGGAAACUGGCUCAACGCAUCUGGUGCGUGGCCUAUCAUUAUAUAUAUGGUACCAAGGGGUACAAUACAGGUACAAAUACAGUUGUGGUACAAUAUACAGUCUAACACCCUCCCUCAAUCUUAACUGUGGCCUGAGGUACUCAGUAAGUUAAGAUUGCGUCUACAACCUAUGAACAAAGGAAGAGACAAGGGUUUGGUGAAGAUAUCAGCAAGUUGAUCGUUGGAGGAGAUGAACUUGAUCUGCAGGAACUUCUGUGCAACAUGUUCUCUCACAAAAUGAUAAUCAACUUCGAUGUGUUUCAUUCGGGCAUGAAAUACCGGAUUCAAUGAGAGGUAUGUGGCACCGAUGCUGUCACACCAAAGGACAGGAGGCUGAUUGUGAGAGAUCUUCAAUUCUCGAAGAAGGGACUGGACCCAAAUAAGCUCAGCAGUGGCAUCAGCAACCGCCUUGUACUCAGCUUCAGUGCUACUCUGAGAAACUGUAGCCUGUUUCCGAGCACUCCAGGCGAUCAGAUUAGGACCAAAGUAGACGGCAUAUCCCCCCGUGGAUCGCCUGUCAUCUGGGUUACCAGCCCAGUCCGCAUCACCGAAGGCCGAGAGCACACUAGAAGGCGCCGGCCUGAGAUGAAGUCCGUAAGAGGCAGUGGGGCGAACAUAACGCAGAAUACGUUUGACAGCUGUCAAGUGAGGCUCUCGAGGAGCAUGAAGGUACUGGCAGACACGGUUAACUGCAUAUGAAAUAUCAGGUCGUGUGAUGGUGAGGUACUGAACAGCCCCAACAAGGCUUCGAUACUCGGUGGCAUCAUCAGCAGAGAGUAGAUUCCCAUCAGGAGCAUAAAUAGGCACAGUGGAGGACAUCGGAGUAGUAGCAGCUUUGCACUCCAACAUGCCAGCACGCCGCAGGAGAUCCUGAGAGUACUUCUGCUGAGAAAGAGCAAGACCAUCAUGUGGAUAUGUGACCUCCAGACCAAGAAAGUAAUGAAGUUUGCCCAGAUCCUCGACAGCAAAAUCAGAACUGAGAGCCAGAACCAAACGACCAGUCGCCGCAACAGAGGAACUGACAAGAAUGAUAUCAUCAAGAUAGACCAGAAUGUACAUUGUGACUUCCGGUCGUUGAAGAAUAAACAGUGAAGUAUCCGCAGUGGAGGGCACAAACCCACGAGCACGAAGCGCAGAUCCCAGCCGAGCAUGCCAAGCGCGAGGAGCCUGUUUGAGACCAUAGAGUGCUUUCACCAAACGACAAAGAUGCUGAGGACGAUCAGGGUCAGAAUACCCAGGGGGCUGACGCAUGUAGACCUCCUCCUGAAGAACACCAUGAAGAAAUGCAUUCUGAACAUCCAAUUGACAAAGAGACCAACCUCGGGUGACAGCAAGUGACAAGAGCAGUCGAAUAGUGGUUGGCUUAACAAUAGGACUGAAGGUAUCCUCGUAGUCAAGACCAUACCGUUGCUUGAAGCCCUUAGCAACCAGCCGAGCCUUGUACCGCUCAAUAGAACCAUCUUCGUGUCGUUUGACCUUGAAGACCCAUUUGGAAUCAAUGACGUUGAUACCUGGACGGGGAGAGACCAGCUGCCAGGUGCCAUUCUGACGAAGAGCCUGAAUCUCAAGGUCCAUAGCAGCACGCUAGUGAGGAAUACUCAUCGCUGCUUGAUAGUGUAGAGGUUUCGCAGUAGGAUCUGACUGCGCUUGAGCCAAGCAGGCAACAAUCCAUGCAACAGUGCCAUCAGUGUACUUCUUGGGCCGGUGAAUACCACUCCGGCUACGUGUAUGCGGCCGAAGAACCACAGGAGCUGGAGGCGGGUCCGCCGCUACCUCAUGAGGAGAGGCAGGCGACGGUGCAGGAGACGGGCUCCCGAGCAGCGAGGCCGCAUGUGGGGCAGGCACGGGCGAGUCCGGCCCAGGCAAGGAAGCUGACGCGGGCUCAGGCGAGGCGGGCUCAGGCGAGGCCGGCCCAGGUGGGGCAGGCGGGGGCGAUGCAGGCGGUGGAGACCGCUCAAGCGAGGCGGGAAGCAGGAAAGGCCCACUGCCAGCCGGCCGCGCGGGCAACGAAGCGGCUGAGCCAGGCGGAGCCGAGGAGGCGGCCUCAGGGCGCUCGCCCGCUGCAUGUCCCAUGCAGCGAUCGACGACGCAGUCAUCAGAAGCAGGUGCGGGCGACGCCGGUUCGUCAAGUAGAUCGAGACGAGCGCCACAUCUGAUACCUGCACCAUGGUUAGGCAAUAAUACAGGCGAAUAUGCAACAUCCUCAAGUUGAUCAGGCAAAAUAAAGGAGCUAUGAGUGGAUGAUGGCAACGAUGAGGAUGAUGGCAGAUUCAAAAAUGGAAACAGCCUUUCGUCAAACAUGACAUCAUGAGAAAUAUAGACUCUAUUUGUUGGAACAUGGAGACAUUUGUAGCCUUUGUGAAGAGCACUAUACCCAAGGAAGACACAUUUUUAGAGCGAAACUCAAGCUUGCGGCUGUUAUAGGGCCGAAGGUGCGGCCAACAAGCACAGCCAAAAACCUUGAGAAAAGUAUAGUAAGGGAGUUCAUUAAACAGCAGUCCAAGUGGUGUCUUCAUUUUUAAUACUCGAGUUGGAGUUCGAUUGAUCAAGAAACAAACAGUGGUAAAAGCAUCACUCCAAACCCGGAAGGGCACAGAGGCAUGAGCAAGAAGUGUAAGACCAACUUCAACAAUGUGACGGUGCUUGCGCUCAACGGCACCAUUUUGCUGAUGUGUAUGUGGGCAUGAAACACGAUGAGAUAUCCCAAGAUUAUUAAAGAAAGAGUUGAGGUUGCGGUAUUCGCCCCCCAAUCCGACUGAACAUGAAUGAUCUUAUGCUUGAGGAGUCUCUCAACAUGCAAUUGAAAUUGUAAGAACACAUGAAACACAUCAGCUUCGCUUUUUAGGAGAUAAAGCCACGUAAAGCGACUGUACGGAUCAAUGAAGCUGACAUAAUAUUUAUGACCACUGACAGAGGUUUGGGAAGGGCCCCAUACAUCCCAAAACACAAGCUCUAAUGGGGUAGUAACAACUCGAGAUGAAGACACAAACGAUAAUAGAUGACUCUUUCCCUCUUGACAAGCAUCACAAACUGCUAAAGGUUUAUUACUAGAUGACGUAGGGAUCUCAUGUCUAUGCAAAACAUGGCUAACUAUGGGAGACGCAGGAUGCCCAAGCCGGGCAUGCCAAUGAGACACCGACGUGCGAACAACGCUGAAGACCUCCGGAAGGGACGGCGCCUCCAAUGCAUACAGGCCCUGAUGGAUGCGACCUCUUAAGCAGAACCUCCCGUGUGGCUCGAUCCUUAACCAAGAGAUGAAAUGGGUGAAAUUCACAAAACACAUCAUUAUCAUAAGUAAACUUACGAACAGAUAGUAAUGGACGAGUGACAAGUGGGACGCGAAGGACAUUACGAAGGCGAAGGCGACGAGAGGAACUAGACAGAAGGGAGGCCUGACCAACAUGAGUAAUGGGCAUACCUGAACCAUCAGCGGUGCGGACCUUGUCACGGCCGCGGUAGGGCUCCAGCGUCUGGAGUCGAGAAGCCUCAUUGGUCAGGUGCUCCGUGGCACCCGUGUCAAGGUACCAGGCGGGAUCGAUCGGAUACGACGGCGUGUACCUGCCUGCGCCGGGGUGGGUACCGCCAGGGUAGCCGACCGAACUCUGUUCGGCGAUGGCAGCUUGCUUCUCGUUACCGCGCCCGUCAUUGCCGAUGCCAAGAAAAUCCCUCUUGAAGCGACGGUGGCUGCGAGAGGCAUAGUGCCCGUGGAUGCCACACAGCUGGCAGUCGACGUUGGGGCGGCCGCUGCGAUCGGUGGUCACAGGAGGGCCACGGGACGGCGGGGAUGGAGGGGGCUGGCGGCCACCACCACCCAUGGGCGGGCCAGUAGGAGAAUGAGGUGGACGAUGUCCACGAGCACCACGGUAGGCUGCAAGGGCCUGAGGGUCAUUCAGCUGCAUCUCGGCACGGCGGGCGUCAAAACGGUGCUCGGUGGAGAGGAGGCGCGCAUACAUGUCCUAGGAAGACAGGGGCGUCUCACGACCCCGCACCGCCUCAACCAGGUUGUCGUAGUCCUGAUCGAGGCCCGAAGAACGAAGUCAGUGAACUCCGUAUCACGAAGCGGCUCCCCGAUAGCGGACAGGGUGUCGGCGAUCGUCUUGAUCUUGUUGAAGUAGACGUGCGCGGAGGAGUCGAGCUUCUUGCACUCGACGAGUUGUUGACGAAGAGCCAACGCGCGAGCCGAGGAGUGGGCCGAGAAGCUGUCCGCCGUCGUCGCCCAGACGUCAAGGGAUGUGGCGGCGAACACCACCAGCCCAGCAACUCCUUCCAUCAGGGAGGACUGGAGCGCGGACAGGAUAGCUUGGUCCUGUGCGACCCAGGCGCGAUACGCCGGGUUUUCGGCCGAAACUCGGGCGCCGGUGGCCGUGACCGCAGGGAUGAGGCGGGGCGGACACGGGUGGCUCCCGUCGACGUAGCCUUCGAGAUGGCGGCUGCGAAGAAGCGGUAGGAUCUGCGCCCGCCAAUACAGGUAAUUAUCCUGCGUGAGGCGCACCGAGAUGAGGUGCGUGAGCUGAUAGGACCAUUGCCCGGGCCGUUGACCGGGGAUCCAACAGGGGCAACGACAUCAGCCGCGGUGGAGAUGAUGGGUGCCUUGGACACGGCCAAGUGGGGGCCGAGGAACGGUGAGGCCGGGGGCGCCGAUGGGGCCGGGGGCGGCACCGCGCUGAACGGUACCAGCGACGCCGACGCGUAGGACGGCAGCGGAGGGAAGAACCCUGAAGCGAACUGCGACGAGCCGAGGUAUAGAGGGCGCGAGGUGGUGGACGUGGCCAUCUGGCUCGUGGUGCUGGCGGCGAGGAUCGCUGCAAGCUGGGGCGGGAUGAAGGGCGGCACCGCGGUUGAUGGUGCGGAGGUGGGCAGGGCAGCGGAGAAGGCCGAGGGAGCGCGAGAGGAACUCAUGGCGAUGGCGAUCUUGGCGGCGGCGCGGCAACCUAGGAGGUAGCAGCGGCGGCCAAGGACAGGAGGCGGCGGCUAGGGUUGUGGAAAACCUAGUCUGAUACCAUGUUGAAUUGUGAUUUGGUGGAAACUGGCUCAACACAUCUGGUGCGUGGCCUAUCAUUAUGUAUAUGGUACCAAGGGGUACAAUAUAGGUACAAAUACAGUUGUGGUACAAUAUGCAGUCUAACAGAGUCAAAGACUGUUGUUAGUCUGUCAUAUAUUGAACGCAAAAAAAAAAAGUCUGUCAUAUAUUGGCACCAAAUUGCAAACAGGCCCUGAGCAGAGGGAUGCGGCGUUGGCCUUGAGCGGCUCGACGAACGCGACCAGCGGCCGUGCGUGCUGCUGGACGGUGCCGUUGUCCAAGAAGACGAACACCCCGAUGACGUGACGACUGCUCCCAUGCUUGCGGCUGCUGUCAUAUCGUGGUACUUCACAGCACAUGUCUCGGGCUACUUCCACGGCUAGAGCAACAACACUACACUAGUUACAUCAGAAGGUAGGUUCAGAAUUACAGGGUGAGGAGGGAGUUUCGUCUUCAGGUUCUGCUCAUCGCGUCCAGCUCGGCCCCGUGAACUUGACGUUCGGUCCAAGGGUAGGGCUGGCAAUGGUACCACCGUCAUAAAUUUUGUUCUAGUAGAAUUAAUUGAUGUUGAAUCACUCAUGAACAUUCCUGGCAUCGACCUCACAAGCAUACAUACAGAUAUAUCAUUAUCACUACGUACGGCUCGUUCAUCGCCUUUGCAAGUAGGCAACAUGCAUGAUGCAUUUUUUUUUAGAGAAGGGGGAUUCCCCGGCCUCUGCAUCAGAUCGAUGCAUACGGCCUCUCUUAUUAAACAAGUAAACAAGGUCUGAACAAUGAUCUUACAAAAAUGGAACAAAAGCAGCAUCUAGCUCACAUAGAGCAUCAACUGCAAAGCAGAAACGAGAAAAGCCACAACCGGCUGGCAUAAGAGCAGAUAGGUAAACUAAAUGCCUAUCCUAUUACAUGAUCGCCAUCCAAACCGGUUGAAGAUAUCCCGCGCUACCGUCUCCCACCGGACAGAUCCAGUAACCAAACGCUCACUGGCCUCCGUCGGAGUGAGUAAGGACCACGUACGGAUCAGCGUUGUAGCUCGGAAUAACACCUGCAAAAAAUGAGUAUUUGUUGUCCUGUUAAAAACCAAAUCAUUUCUGCAAUUUCAAAUUGCCCAUAAUAACGCACAUACUCCUACACGAAUGUGUCUGGCUGUUUCGGACUCAAUCCCAACAAGCCACGCCCCAAAUAACGUGUUGACCGAUCUCGGAGGAGUAAUAUUAAAGGCAAUUUGCACGGUGCGCCACAACCCUUGUGCCAACGGGUAGUCAAAAAAUAAAUGCUUGAUAGUCUCAUCCCGAUGACAGAAACUACACCUAGUAGAUCCUGUCCAGUUGCGCUUAACUAGAUUGUCCUUUGUAAGAAUAACUUGUUUAUGCACAAACCACAUAAACACUUUAAUCUUCAAAGGAACCUUAACUUUCCAAACCACAGAUGAAUUAAUAAUAUCAAUAUACAUCGAUUUUACCGUGAACACCCCAGUUCUAGUUAGUUUCCAACACAACUGGUCGGGCUGAGGAUUUAGCUGAACAUCCAUCAGCCUACGGACCAAGUGAAGCCAUGCUUCCCAUCGAGGUCCAACAAGCACUCUCCUAAACUGUAUGUUUAGAGGGAUAGACUGCAUCACCGUGGCAACAAGAGCGUCCCUACGCUGAACAAUACGAUAUAGUGUCGGAUAUUGUGUAGCCAAAGGCGCAUCACCCAGCCACGUAUCCUCCCAGAAUCGCGUAUCAUCUCCAUUACCAACAAUACAUCUCGUUCUGUUAAAGAAAGCGGCUUUAACCCUCAUGAGCCCUUUCCAGAACGGCGGAUCUGCAGGUCUCAGAGUGACCUGGGAUAAAGUCUUUGAGUGCAGAUAUUUACUACGUAAAAUCUGCGCCCAAGUUGCCUCUGUCUUAGAAGACAACUUAAAUAGCCACUUACUAAGCAGGCAUCUGUUUUUGACUUCAAGAUUUUCAAUACCAAGUCCCCCUUGGUCCUUUGGUCUGCAGAUAAUAUCCCAUUUGGCCAAUCUGUACUUCCUCUUAGACUCAUCACUCUGCCAAAAGAAGCGAGAACGAUAGAAGUCUAGCCUUUUCCUCACCCCAACUGGGACCUCGAAGAAAGAUAAGAGAAACAUAGGUAAACUCGUGAGCACCGAGUUAAUCAGAAUCAACUGGCCUCCAUAAGACAUGAGUUUUCCUUUCCAACAACUUAGUUUCUUCUCAAAUCGAUCCUCGAUACACUUCCACUCACCAUUUGUUAGCUUACGAUGGUGUAUGGGAAUACCAAGAUACGUGAAAGGUAGAGUCCCAAUUUCACACCCAAACAAUUGUGUAUAUGCUUCUUGUUCAUCUUUGGCUCUACCAAAGCAGAACAACUCGCUUUUAUGGAAAUUAAUCUUCAGCCCAGACAAUUGUUCGAAAAGGCAUAACACUAGCUUCAUGUUCCUCGCUUUGGCCAAAUCGUGUUCCAUAAAAAUGAUUGUAUCAUCAGCGUAUUGCAGAAUGGACAAACCACCAUCAACCAGAUGAGGGACCAAUCCCUCCACCUGACCGGCCUCUUUGGCCCUCCCAAUCAGGAUCGCUAACAUAUCAACCACAAUAUUGAACAGAAUAGGCGACAUAGGGUCUCCCUGUCUCAGACCCUUGUGCGUUUGGAAAUAAUGACCUAUGUCAUCAUUAACUUUAAUGCCAACACUGCCUUUUUGCGUGAAUGUUUCCACUUGAUGUCGCCAGCGCUCAUCAAAUCCCUUCAUUCGUAAAGCUUGCUGGAGGAACGGCCAUUUGACUUUAUCAUAAGCCUUCUCGAAAUCCACUUUGAAAAUAACACCAUCUAGUUUUUUCGUAUGAAUUUCAUGAAGCGUUUCAUGAAGGACCACAACCCCUUCGAGGAUGUUCCUAUCCGGCAUGAAAGCCGUUUGAGAAGGUUGUACUACAGCGUGCGCUAUCUGUGUAAGCCUGAUCGUCCCAACCUUGGUAAAGAUUUUGAAACUGACGUUGAGAAGGCAGAUAGGCCAAAAUUGCUCAAUUCUCACGGCAUCUGUUUUCUUAGGCAACAAAGUUAUCGUUCCAAAAUUAAGUUGGAACAGCUGCAAAUAUCCCAAGAACAAAUCAUGGAACAUCGGCAUCAGGUCCCCUUUGAUAAUAUGCCAACACUUCUUGUAAAACUCAGCAGGGAAACCAUCCGGCCCCGGUGCCUUAUUACACUUCAUCUUGGCAAUAGCCUCGAAAACUUCCUUUUCCGAGAAAGGGGCAGUUAAUACAUCAUUCUCCACAGUAGUAAGUUGAGGGAUAUCGCUAACCCUAGACUCAUCCAGGGAUACACAGCUCUCCUCUGGUGGUCCGAACAACCGUUUGUAGUACUCAGUAAUGUAGAGCUUCAGGUUAUCCUGGCCGACUAUUGUACCCUCAUCUUGUUCUAGCUGGAAGAUCCUCUUCUUCCGGUGCUUGCCAUUGGCAAUCAUGUGGAAGAACUGGGUGUUCGCAUCCCCCUGGACAACUUUUCUCACCUUUGCCCGCAAUGCCCACUUUAAUUCUUCUUCACGGAGCAAUUCCUUCAGCCUCAUCUCAGCCUCAUGCUUAAUAUGAAGCUCGGUGGGUAACAGAAACAUGCAUGAUGCAUAUCCGAGACUACAUGCCAAUACCUACAUAUGUAUUUAUUCCCCUUGUUAGCAUCUCCAGCAGCUACACAAUAAAUCUUCCUCUAUUUUUAUUGUUUCUCAUGGUGUGUUGUAGCAAAUUUCAAAUAUAUCUACCCCAAUAUACUUCUCUGUUUGUGAAUGUAUUUAUCUGCAUGAACUUCUGUUGUGCAUGUGAAUGGUCGUUUUCUUGUUCUUAACCUCUAGCUUUAGCCUAGAAUUUAAGAUCUUGCAACCUUGUGUUUUCGACGAUACAUGAAUGGUUAUAUUCUUGUUCUCAAUUUCUACCUCCAGCCUAGAACUUAUCUUGUUUGGGUGGACCUGGAAUGCAAGACUAUCUAACAAAUGGGCCACAUCUGUUGGUGGGUCAUUUUUAUUUUANNNNNNNNNNNNNNNNNNNNNNNNNNNNNNNNNNNNNNNNNNNNNNNNNNNNNNNNNNNNNNNNNNNNNNNNNNNNNNNNNNNNNNNNNNNNNNNNNNNNNNNNNNNNNNNNNNNNNNNNNNNNNNNNNNNNNNNNNNNNNNNNNNNNNNNNNNNNNNNNNNNNNNNNNNNNNNNNNNNNNNNNNNNNNNNNNNNNNNNNNNNNNNNNNNNNNNNNNNNNNNNNNNNNNNNNNNNNNNNNNNNNNNNNNNNNNNNNNNNNNNNNNCUCCCCCCGGGACGGUGCCGAACAAGGAGCCGGCAAGGCACAGGCGGAUGCGGCGACGCCUGACCCCUACCCCUAUGAUGGUGGUUGGCCGACUGCUGGCUCGGGAGGCUACCAGUGUGGCACGUCCAGGGGCAGGGGCGGCAACGGGGGUUUGGGGGCACUGUGGCCGGCUCAGGCUGCAGCCCUUGCUGUGCGCCCGGGUGCAGGGGACCGGUGCAGCGGCACCGGUGUCUGGCCGACGACGGGGUGGAAAGGUGGAGCGGCGGCCCGACCGCACCUGACCGGCGACGCGGAGGGAAAGUGACGUGGAGGCCCAACUGCGCUCGAUCGGCAAUGGGGAAGGAAGGUGAUCCGCGAACGUAAUGUCGAGGACAGGGGAAGGUCAAUCUUCCCCUCUAUAUAUGAGGAAGUUGGGGCGUUUUUAGGCUCAAAUUCAAAAGAUCAUUUGGUUUACGGAAACUGUUGUGUCAACUUCUCUAUAUAUCGAUUUUUUUUGGGACAGGAAAGCUGCUGGAUAUGCCGUUAAGAUGUAAUCUAGUAUUGACAAGCGCCACGUACCCAACCUACUUGUGUUGUUCCAAAUUUAGUGUGGGCAAUUGACAAGCUAACUACCUACUCGGCUACUCAGUUUGUUCCAAAUUUAGUGUCUCUCUCAUUUACCUAACGGUGAGUUCAUGUCCAAUAUGCAACCAUACACGCACGUACACGCGCGGUAGCAUAUGUAUGCGUGCUAUAUUCGGAGGGAGUGCUCCAAGUCUUUAACACAAUUGCAUGCACUCUCGGUAGGUAAUCGAUCUAUUCCUACUAAGCUUGUGACCCAACUUGGAAGCUAUUAGCGACACUUUCUGAUCCAUCUUCUAGUUAGCGCAAUAAAUAGAUGCAAGCUUCAUGAUUUCCUUCUAAUUGUCUGGCAUGCACAUUUGCUCCUACUCUCUCCGCCCACCGAUUAAAAGACAUAAGAGAGUAUCUCACCAACGUGCAUUUCUUUUUCAGAAAACAUUCAAUCUAUUCUUCUUCAAUCAUGAUAGGACAAUGAACACCAGAAAUAAUAAAAAUUGCAUCUAGAAUCAUAGACCAUCUAGCGAUUACUACAAACACUGAAGUGAGCCGAAGUCGCGCCGCCGUCAUUGCCCUUCGCUCACUGGAGCCGGACAAAACUUGUUGUAGUAGACAGUCAGGAACUCGUAUAUAAAGAAGACAUAAAUCAAAGCGCACGACCGAAAGAUACAAGGUACUACUAGUGAGGCAACCCUCCCACAAAGCAGACACCUAAAUAACUGGACAACACAAACGCAUGCGACUAUGUUACCGGAAAGAGUACAUGAAGGACCGAAGACAACACCACACCACGACAUAGGGCACCUAAGCUCCACGACUUUACUCGGGUGGAUGACGCAAAGCGUCGAAAUAGACAAAGGUUUUCACCCGGAACUCUGGCACAAAGAGGAGAACCCAAAAGACGGAUGGUUGAAUUGUGCUGAACUUUUGGUGAUGUUUAUAUGUGAAUUAUGUCUGUUUGAUAUCAGUUUAUUUGUUCGUUUCCUGCCAAAUAUGUCCAUUUGAUGAUCUACACAGUACGAGUUUAUGUUGCAUUAGGAUGGAUAUUGGGUGCCGGAUAUGAGAUACGUGGCUGUGGACGCGCCGAUUUAAGGAUUGCCCGGUCACUGUCCGCGGGCGCAUAUAGGGUGACGGAUUUGGCAGGUCCGGCCAUAGAUGCUCUUAGUAUCCCACUGCCAUGUGAAGUUACAUUUAUAUCCUUCCGGUAGUUCUCAUAGUGCUAUCAUAUAUAGGGUUGUACAUAUACAUGUACUAUUUGCAAAUGAUGCCUCCCAUAUAUAUGCUUGCACACCUGACAGAUACCUGUAAAGCUAGCUAGUUCAACAGUACCAUUUGUACGUCUAUUCAAGGUAGCUGCUUCAUGGUACUUAUCCUCGAGCUUAAUCCAUCGAUCGACUGAGCAGCCGAUCAACAACCUGCGAGGCCCGCCGAUAUGUUAUCCUGAUCAAUCCGUCUUCUGCAUCUCUCACGCAUGUAUCCAACGCGACUAUGAUUAGCGCAACAGCUAUACUAAAUUGCCUGAAUUUCAAAUUUGGAUAUCUGGAAUCCGAACGCCAGGGCGAGCAUAGAGAGGCGUGGGGAUACCCGCGAGGCCUUGGACCAUGUGAACCAUGCAGCAGCGACGUGGCAGGUGGAGGGGAGUAUGAAGGUUGACUCAUACAGGUAGCGGUGCUGGUCCUUCCGGAGAAGUCUGGUAUCCAGAGGAGGUUUAGAGGGAUGGCCGAGCACAGCGGCAGCAUGUCACUGGGAUAAGGCUAGGGGAUGGUGGGGCAGUCAGGCGCAUGCGGGAGCGCUGCCAACUGCGGGUGACAGCAGGAGGCGGCCCCGAGGAAGAAAAAGACCGGAGGUUGAAGAAAGAAGACGAGCCCGUCCAAUUUCUAUCCAACGGCUGAAAAAACUGACAUGCCCCACAUCGUUUUUCAGUCAACUUAUCUAUAUUUUUUUAUAUUUAUAUAAAUAGCUAGCCCCACUAACAUAGUUUGCUCAACAUGUAAACAUGCCAUGUCAGCAUGGAAUAUGCACGAGAAAAUGCCCACCACAACAUGUAACUAUGCAUAGAAAAAAUUCCCUAGCAUGCACACAUGCAUGAAAAUUUUCAUUCUAUUGCACUAUUCAUAAUUAUAUAAUUUUACUCAUAUAUAUUAUUACUCUAAAUAUAUUAAUUUUCCACACAAUCAGAUAUUAUUAAAAUAUAUUGCAAAAUAUUCCCGCAACAAUGUGUGAGCUACUAGUAUCUUGUAUAGACAAACCCCACUGCAAGUUAUUAUUCAUCACUUUCCUAGCAUAUGCUUCUACACCAUCCAAAUUUAUAGUCGUUGAAUUUGCUAGCUUGGUCAAGUAACAUCCAUCUGUGAUCUGAAUAUGAGAAUUUCUCUACCUUGCAACAUGCAUAAUGGACUUUAAAUGCCACCACAUUUAAUUUAUGACAUGUUCAACUUUUUAUUUAUUUAUUUUGCUUUUUUGUAUCUACAGAAAUCCUCGCAUAGUUUAAAUCAUAGAGUUAAAUUUAUCUUGUUUGCAAUAUUUAGAAAUCAAUUCUAUAAUUCCGCGGCAUCGUGGGCGGGUGUCGUCUACUUAACUAGUUGUAGUCUUGUAGAUGCAUCCUCGAUGUAGUAUGACAUUGAUUUCACCACAUGCAAGAGAACGAUGGAACAGCUAAUGGAACAAGGAUGGGUGUACCGGACAGCGCAGUUGUUCAAUAUAUGGGAGAUUCAGGCAGCGGUCCUCUUGAGCUUCGCAGCACAUCUUGUCCUAGUAACACUCGCCGGUGCCCGUCGGCGCAAGGCCUCCGGCGUGCGGAUGCUCCUCCUCUGGCUGGCGUACCAGCUGGGCAACUUGGUCGCGCCCUACGCCCUCACCAACCUGUCCCUCUGCGACCUAUGUGCUGACGGUGGCGUCACGGAUCGGAGGAGCCACCUAUGUGCUAGUGCAAGCAUUUGUACAUCGGCGGCGGUGACGGCGGGGCUUUGAUCCGGGCGUCCAUCAUCAUCUUCGCCGUGGGUGCUACCAAGUACGCUGAGAGGGCAUUUGCGCUAUGGCGAGGGGACUUGGCCAACAUCCGGAGCUCGAGCAAGAAGAUGGGUCAACUGAGUAGAUUCAUCACUAGCGAUCCGAAGUACAGGAUGGGAGGGUUGUCUUGACGAUGAGGAUGCGCUGAUGGUCGCGCACGCCAUGCUCCCGCUCUGCAGGCGUGCCAUGGCUGAUACUUCGGUCCGCGCGGACGGUGAUACCCUCCAUGUAAGCUAGGAAAUAUUUGCCACCAGCUGGGAUAACACGUGCAAGGUAGUGGAGAUGGAGCUCUCGCUCAUGUACGACAUUCUCUACACCAAGGCGGCCGUUGUCCACACCUGGCAUGGUUACGGCAUCCGUGUCAUGUCGCUGGCAGCCAUUGCUGCCACGACGGUGCUGUUUGGAGUCUACUACAGCAAAGAAGGCCAGGGCAAACCGGACGUGAUGAUCACCUAUGUUAGGAAUAAUCUUGUUCGUAUGAUUAGAUUAUUAGGUCGAGUUGGAGUCUUAAGUAGACUAGGUUUAGGUUAAUCGUGAUCAACGUAGCCGUGUAAUUAGCUAGGAUGUUCUACUAGUACAAGGCUUGCACGUCCGUGUGUUAAAUCGUCUUACGACUCAGGGCCGGACUAGGUUAGCUUGUACGUGUAGGUUUAGGUCUGCUUUGAGUCUGUUUGUGCUGGCCGGUUAUGCAUAUAAUUAUGCAUAGUCCUGCGUGAGUUUGUAACAUCGGUGCGAGAAAACAGAAAAUAAAAAGAAGAGAAACAAAGGGCACGACAAGAGCCCUUGACUAAACAGUUUUUGCGUGUGCGUGUUCAUCGUGAUUUGAUGUGAUCGGUCCCGUGGUGAAUUUCCAACAAUUGGUAUCUAAAGCUAGGUCGAUUUGAAGCCGCGCUUGCCCCGGGGUGGCGAUCUACUAGCGCCUCGGGCGGGCCAUGAAGUCCCUGGAUGAUGCGGCGAGGAGGAGGAUCAGGCGAUUGUCGUUCGGCGGAGCGCCAUGAAGGAAGACGGCACGCUGUCGUCGGCAAGGUGAUGGAAGACGAUGUUGAUGGGAGCAGUGGUGCCGAGGUGCGGUGCCGGAAAGUCAUCAAGACAGUCAUCCAGGGGAGUCUGGAGAGUCAAGGAGUCAUUUGGGUUAGCACGGUCGGUCGGUCGGUCGUCGUCAUGUCCAAGUGCUCAUCUCUGUGAGAAGGCGUUGAAGAUGAAGUGCCCAGGUCGUCUAUGUGUCUCGACGAGAGGAUCAAGUUCAACUACGUGGGGACGAUAAACCAGUGAAGGUGAGUCUCUUCAAUGAGGCCAUGUCUCUACAUGAGGCUGGAGUGCAUGGUGUAGUGCAUAGGGUGGCGUGAUCGACAAGGAGCCGGCAUGUAUCUUACUAGGAUGGAUGGUGAAGUCCACCGGGUGAUGUAUUUCACGGGUUACUAGUAAGGCUGGGUAGUCCAUGGCAUAUUUGAUGCGAUGCGUAAAUUCGCCAAGUUGAAAUUGGGGAGAGAUUAUUGCGAGCUAUCAAGGCCGUCAAUUUGACUUGUCGUGGUGCAAGCGAAUGAGUCGACAAGAGAUGAAUCGUCAACGAGUUAAGACCAGAGAAGCAACGAAGACAAACUGUCAAGAAUAGGAUGAGAUUGUUACGAAUAAUCUUGUUCGUAUGAUUAGAUUAGGUUGGGUUGGAGUCUUAAGUAGACUAGGUUUAGAUUAAUCAUGAUCAACGUUGCCGUGUAAUUAGAUAGGAUAUAUAGUGUUACUUUUCAUUACCCAGGGUGCAGAAUAAGUUAUUCUUCAUCCAACGUAAUUUUACGAUCGUAUCAUAAAUAAAUUACGUUUGAAAUACAAAUAGUUACAUUCAUAUUAAUUUACUACAUAAAAUUUGGCAUAAGAAUACAAAAAUAUAGGUGAUAAGAUUAGAAAAAAUGCAUUUUAUGUAUAUUUUACACUAUGUUUUAUGUUUGUAAUUUUAUGUAACAUAAAAUAUUUUUUACGGUGACUAUAUAUUUUCUUACGAUCUAUUUUUACGUAUAAAAUAAGAUAAAAUUUACGGAAUGUAAAAUUACGGUGCAUUGCUAUUAAAAUAGAGGAGGGUGAAGAAUAACUAUUCCUCACCCAGGGUGACGAAUAGUCAACCCUCACUCAAGAUCACAAUAGGUCCAUCUCCUUUAUUUUCGCGAGAUAUCAUAUUUGUGUUGCCGCUUAUCCUCUAUUAGGUAGAGAUAUAGCAAAUAUGCCUGUGCGUUGCAAUGGGGAAAAACAAUUAGACUAUGUUAGGAUGAGAUAAGGACUUUUAAAAUGUCAUGUCAUAAACUACGUCUCGUCUUGACCUAGCAUUGCGCCAUAGAAAGUUGUGUCAAUUUUUCUGGGAGCAAGCAUUGUAUAGAACACAAAAACCCUUUUUUAACCGAUGCGUCAUGGACUAAAUAAAAUCAUAAAACAACCUCUAUCUAUCCCCUAAAAAAUAUUUAAGUGAUGGUUCGUCUUUUCGUUAUUUACGUAUCUGCUUGAAUUUUUGCAAACAUUUUCUAAAAUUUUAUGGACAUAAUUUUCAAAUUUUUGAAUAUGUUUUGAAUUCACGAUCACCUUUUAAAAAUCAUGAAUAUUUUUUUUGAAAUAAUGUUUUUAUACUAUGCAAACAGUUUCUUAAUCUUAUUUAUUUUAUGAUUUCUCUACCAUUUUCUGAGUUCGUGAACAUUUUACGAUUUCUAUACAAAAUUCAACUCACAACCUUUUAAAAUUUGGAAUUUUUCCGUUGAAAAGAUAUAAACAUAAACAGAAAUAAGAAGAAAAAAAGUAAAAAGAAAAAAGAAAAGAAAACAGAAUGAAGACAUCACACCUGUAACAUGUGCGGGAGAAGGACGAUCCCUUGCGGAAAAAAUAAGAGAAAAGGGGCGAACUGGGGAUCGAACACAGGUCUCCUACAUGAUGUGUUGAAGCAUAGACCAGUGCGGCACUCUUCCAAUUGUGUUUUAUUAGGGUAGCACUGUAUAAUAAUCAAACCCCGCGGCGGCCUUCAAGAAAAAAAAACUGAAUCUUUUUUUCACUUAUAGAUGGCAUAGUGGGUAAUUUAGGGCAACUUCAAGGGUAGUUUUUAUGACGUACGGCAGAAACCCAAUUCUCUUUAUUAUAUAAAAAUAAUAUGCAUUUUCCCUAUAUAUAUGGACGAAUUUUUCCUACUACCGGAUGUAGUUACUCCCAUUUUUGUUUCAUAUGUUCUAGGUAGUAUCUAUCAUAUCGGAGAGUAUGUAUGCGUAGUAUGUAGUAUAUAAGAAUAUAUAGGUAGUAUAUAUACUACUUUUUUGGUAGUAUGUAUCAUAUUUUGUGCAUACUCCAUUUCACAUACAAAUAUGUACGUAUUUCAUGAAAACAAUAAAACUAUGGGCUCACUUGCAAUUUUUUUAUCGAACUCAUUUUGGAGUAUCUUAGAUAUAGUAUGUGAACAUACUAAAAUAAAUAAUAUAGAGUAUAUACUACCACAUGGUGGUAUAUGAGAAAUGGGUGUAACUACACCCGGUAGUAGUAGGAUGCAUUUUCCCUAUAUAUAUAUAUAUAAUAAUAAUAAAGUACGGAUUGACUCCAUGAGUUCACCGUCACAAUGCACUUUCUUCUUAUGUCAUAAUACGUUUCUUCAUGUCCGUUUUUUCUUGAUUUCGAUAUUUUUCUUAAUACCGGUGGUACUAUCUAUCUAUUUCUUCACGGGUGCGUUUCUUUACCUAAAUGGCCAUCGCUUUUCUCCAUAAAACUUCACUAAAAAUUACCCACCGUGACAUCCAUGAGUUAAAAAACGAUUCGUUAAAAAAACAAUCAGAAAAAAAGCGAACGCACGCAUCUGUCUAUUUCCUCUGUUCCUCAACCAGAAGCGCCAACAGACCCUGAUUCCUCCUCCUGGCUCCUGCUCUACCCAGCGCCGCCACCCACUCCAUCUCCGGCCGCCGGAGCUCAUCCUCUCUCCCGGACGGCCGAACUUCUGCUCUCCUUAUCUUUCCUACCCGUCUCCCCUGACACACCCCCAACUCGCUCUUGCUCUGUUGCCCUAGCUCGCACCGCCACCGCACGCCCCGCCGAUCCAAUAAUCGGAAACCACGCCCAGGAGCUCAUCCUGCGCUGCUUCUGAACCGCCUGGUUGCCGUUGCACCGAUUCCCCCAUCCCUCUAGCAUGCCUCUGCUAUCACCUCACCGUGACUCCCGCUGGAGAGGCUCCGCUCAUGCUGCUGCUUUCCUGGACGGCCCCUCCCCGCCACUGCAGUGCAAUGCGUAGCCGAUAUCGUGACCAACAUGUUGGCGGUCGGGAUGGACGAACUCCUUGAUCAAUCUAUGAUCCUGAAGGACUCGCUUGGCUACCAGAUAUAUUGCAACAUGGCUUUCUCUGUUCAAUUGUUGUGGCUGUCUUUGUCUUCCUUCUAACGGAGGUGUCCUCACCUGAACUCCAAGGAAACCAAGUUACUUGGUGUGAUGGAGACCAAUACAUCAAGUAGGCAAGAUAAAACUAUGAAACAACUUGUUUCUGCUUUGUUUUUUCUGAUUUAUUCACACGCUAUUUAAUAGUUCCCAUGAAAAACGUUUACUGAAAUCUUUGUAAGUUUGACCAAUGAAUUGCUUUUGUUGGAAAUCUUAUGAUCAAUCUCAUCUUAUUAGUAACUCUGUUUCGAAACAUAUGUAUUGGUAGAUUUUAUCUCUAUGCUUUUGCCUUCUGUACAUGCUGAAUUGCAAACAGCUCAACAUAGUAUUAGUAAAUCAUUUUUCUUGUCAGUUCUGCUUCUCUUUAUAUAUAAUACUAUUUAUACUAUUCGAAGGACAUCUGGCUGAGUUCUAAUAAAAAUCUUCAGGUUUGUAUGAUGGGAUCGUCUUCAGAAAAGAAGAUUUGUGUUGACUAUUGACAAGGACAGCCACUAUGAUAGCUACUAUUCGAAGCCCAUGUUUCAGUAUGCAGUCAUGCAGGUCACAAAGGUAAUGACGUUAUAUUUGAUUACUAAUAAAUGCAGGCAAGUAAAAUAAUGACACUGGCAUCAUGUCUCUAGGCUAAUGUAAUCAGUUUCUUCGCACAAUUGCUCAUUGUCCAAUUGAUUGGUCAGAACAAAUGUACAAGAAACUUCAGGUGGAGACUCCAAAACAUUGAUGUUUGUUCAAAUUAGCCCAAGGAAACUCUCUGCUCGCUGAACUUUGCAAGCAGAGUGAGAGGUGAAUUUCUGCAAUUUAUUGUCUAGAUAGAAGGGACAUGGGAGGUUGAGGUGAAACUGGUGAGCAGCAGCAGCGCUUCCUUGAUUGCAUGUACGACCGACAGGAGAAGGGAAAGUGCAGGGAGCUUGGAGGUGAGAUACCAUGGGUUUUGUUUCACAUAUUGCACUUUAAUCAAUGGUAGAUCAUGAACUGUUAUGCAAUACUCGGCUAGACGUAACUAUGAGAGGACUUGGGGUACAACCAUCUUAAUCGGAUGCUCGAUUUCUUUGGCUGCCCUCUCACAACUCUCUGGAGUUAGUUAACAAUAUGCUGCUGCUUUUUCUUGCCUUUGCUGCUGCUGUGCUCUUUCUUACUUGUGGUACUAUCUAAGGUUUGUUUAACUGUCGCCACAUUUUAGUCAAUCGUGCAUGCAUGCAGGCCGGCAUGGUACUAGGAUUUUUUUUCUGGAUAACUAAUUGUAGUACCAUUGUAGGUUUAUUUUAUAAGGAAGAAAGGAGAACAAUGCUGUCUAAGUUGUUGUCAGUGACGAGUUGAGAGUUUUUAUCCUAGCAAUAUUUGUACCAAGUUUUGCAAACUUACUUCCAUCAAGCCGUGCUGGAUAUGAACUCCACAUGAAUCACCCUCCUUUGCAACAUAAAAAAGCAUAGAGCCCCUCUACGGAAGCCACGUCUGAAUUGCAAAUUCCGGUGCUCGAAAUUAUCUCACUGGAAGGAUCCAAUCUUGCCAUUCUACCAACUUCGCUGGGACGCCGACCACCCACGCUUCACCUGAGGUACGCUGUUGUAAAUUCUGCACCACCAGGAUCACAUGCCAAGAUAAAAGCGACAUGUUUGUUAUGUUUCAUAAUCUUUUUGAAAUUAAAAUUUGAAAAGAGCAUGAGUUUUGAUAGGAUUUGGUAAUAUCCAUCAGUUGCUUAUUGUAACAUGUGCCUUCUAGUAGAUUGAUGUAGAUAGAAUCAUACUGCUAAUUUCCUGUAAUUUCGUCAUCUCAAAGUUGUUUAUCCAUUUGGUUGGCUGUUGUCAUGACCAUCAAAAACCGCCUCUCUUAGCUAUUCGUACUGUUAAAGAUAGUUCUAGAGACCCCGAGGAAGUAAUCUGUUAUACGCCUGACACAUGAUUGAGAAUUAACUUCCCUGAAGAUCUGGUUAACCUCAAACCUCUUUUCCAAAUAUUAAUGAGCUGUUGUUUCUGGAAAAUUCCAUCAACGCUCCAUAAAAAUGUAUGAUGUACCUUUACUUUGGAGCAUUAGUAUGCAAACUCCAGAAUUGGAGUAUUAGUCUGCAAACUCCAGAAAGUUUCUGUGGUCCUCAUACAUACAUCAUGAAGUUGGUAACUAUUGUGGCAUUUACAUUCAGAUUCGACAGGAAUAGAAACUGAACGUAUCAAAUAGUUAUGUUAAGCUAGAUGGGUAACUCUUUAUGCUUUCAUUUCCGAAUUAUUGUUUGAACAAUCUGAUGAGAUGUUUAAUGUCUAUUUUUUAUUGUGUUGCAGAAAAUGAAUCAUAACGAUGAAUGAACAACUAUUGAGGAUUUUGAUAAUCGGCCUUUAAAAAAUACAUUCUGAAUCAUGUGUUUCCAAUUCAGAUAAACUGAUAGAUGGUGAUGAAGAUCCAUCACCAACUAUCUCAACAUCAUCUCCGGUUUCUGAAGUUCUGAAAUGAUUGUUUCAGAACUAGAUAGACACAUAAACCUCUGUCACCAACCAUCUCGACAUUAUCUCUAUUUUGUGAAUUAAUGAAUAAAGGAAAAGUUUCAUUAGAUCCUAAUGUGCACCUUGCUUAAAUCCUACUCCCUCCACCGCAAAAUAAGUGCCAUUGAGUUGGUACUUUUCUGAAAUAAUCUUCUCAAGAUUUCAUGCUAACAUGUGGCUUCGUCAGUAGAUUAUAUCAGGAAAUCAAAGUCAGUUUCCUCAUUCUGGAAUUACUUCUUAUUUGCAACUGAUUGGUGUUGGACCGGAUUAUACAUGCUCCUCUGUGUGCUCUACUUAUGGAAAAUUGUACAUGGAUAUACAUAGAUUGGAAUUGAGAUUUGGAGCAAUUUGGUUGGUUUUGCUUUGUACUGAUGCUGCCAUUAUUUGUGUGAUGAUGUCAUUAUUGUACAGAGGAAAGGUACAGUCAGAGAGAUGGAUAGAAAUUGCUAGCUAUUUUUGUUGCAAUUUUUUGUUGCCGAAGCUUAUUAUUUAUUUGUUGUUGUUGCAGUUGUUGUGAUGGGAAGUUAAAAAUAUUUUUUAUUAUUUCAAAGCAAUGUCAGAUUUAACAAUUUGAACUAGACUGGACUACAGCAUGUUCAUUUAGACUCUGAACGUGAUUAACAUGAUCAUGUAAUUUUUAGUGCCUAAAACAGGUUGCUGAGGUAUUUUUACUCCCGUUGUAACGCACGGGCAUUUGUGCAUUUUUAUUAAUUGUAUUUAUAAUUGACAUUACUGAUUAUUAUGCAUUUGAAAAGGUUGUAACGAGAAAGAGGACGGUGAUGGUCUAAAUCGGCAUGCACUCAACAAUCGUUUUGAUAGCAGAUCAAUACAUAUUUUUUUGCUCUUAUUUUUCCCGUUGCAACGCACGGGCCAUUAUACUAGUAUAUAUAACAACUCGCAAGAUGUUGAUAUUCAUCAGAGUAUGUUAAAAAAGAUCUUCAUCUCAGAGAGGGUCAUCGGUGGAGCAUUAAUUGUUUAUGCAUACAAGAUCUAUAUCCGACCUGAUUAAAUAACAAGAAAUCACCAUCGAUCAUCAAUGACCAUCCUAUCAUACGAGACACGACAUUCAGAUUUGUUAACAAGGUUCAUCGAAUCUGGCUACAUCCCGGGGGAUAUGACUAUGGACACUCCUCCCCAUGAUACUGUCCUGGCCGGGCACCGGCACACCUCGCCGGCUACCCUGCGUGCAUGUCCUAUUAAUUAUGUUGGCAUAGAUUACAUCGUCUGUCUACCACUUAUUAUAUAGGAGGUCUAAGAUACAAGUGUCCUAUUAGGACACGACUUCAUAUUGUGUCUAAACACAAUACAACUUAGAGUCCAACUGUAACCUAUCUUAUACACUAUAUUCGACACAAUUCCAACAAACUGCACCUUAGUGAAUAUUCUCCACCACAUUGAAUCUGUCCAUGCGUCAAACUUCCAUGUAUAUUGAACUUGAGCUUAUCCCAUAAGUACCUACUACUUCAUUGGUGAUACUAACUAGAGAACACUAUUAUCAUACUUGUGCAUUGGGAAUAGCUAAUAUUUGAGUAUGUUUCAUAAAUGGAUCAAUGAUUGAGCAUAAUGAGCUAGGGAUAGCUUUAGUGUUGAUAUUUUGAAAGACAUGGUUGCUUGUUGAUAUACUUGAGUAUUGAUGUCCUCUUGUCAAUUAUAGACUAUUGCUUUGAAUCAUCUAAAGUCCAAAUGUCCAUGCUACAAAAGAAAAGAAUAUGUGAUGAACAUGUUAGGCAUCAUUCCACAUCAAAAAUUCUGUUUAUAUCAUUUACCUACUCGAGGACGAGCAGGAAUUAAGCUUGGGGAUACUGAUACAUCUCCAACGUAUCUAUAAUUUUUUAUUGUUUCAUGCUGUUAUAUUAUCAAUAUUGGAUGUUUUAUAUUCAUUUAAUAGCAACUUUAUAGUAUUUUUGGGACUAAUCUAUUGACAUAGUGCCCAAUUCCAGUUGCUAUUUUUUGCUUCUUUUUACUUUACAGAAUAUGAAUACCAAAUGAUGUCCAAAUGCAACGAAACUUUUUACAGCUUUUUUUCUGCCCAGAAGACACCAGGGAGCCAAAGGAGCACACGGGAGGAGGCUCGUGGGGCUCACUAGGCACCAGGGCAUGCCAGGGGGCCCAAGCGCGCCCUGGUGGGUAGUGGAGCCCAUAGGAAGCUUCUCCACCGACCUCCACAUCUAUAAAUAUUCUAAAAUCCCCAAAACCCUAGGGGAGUCAAGGAAAUACAGUUUCAGCCGCCACAAAUUCUAGAACCACGAGAUCCAAUCUAGAGGCCUUUCUGGCACUCUGCCGGAGGGGCAAUGAUCACAGAGGGGUUCUUCAUCAUCCUUGUCACCCCUUCGAUGAUGCGUGAGUAGUUUACCACAGACCUGCGGGUUCAUAGCUAGUAGCUAGAUGGCUUCUUCUCUCUUUUUGAUCUUCAAUACAAUGUUCUCCUCGAUGUUCUUGGAGAUCAUUUGAUGUAACUCCUUUUUGCGGCGUGUUUGUUGGGAUCCGAUGAAUUGUGGGUUUAUGAUCAGUUCUAUCCAUGAAUAUUAUUUGAGUCUUUGCUGAACACUUAUAUGCAUGAUUGUUAUAGCCUCAUAUUUCUUCUCCGGAAUUUUUGUUGGUUUGGCCAACUAGAUUGAUUUUUCUUGCCACCAAAAAAGGUGCUUUGUGAUGGGUUCGAUCUUGCCAUGCUCAAUCUCAGUGACAGAAAGAGACAUGACACACAUGUAUCAUUACUAUUAAGGAUAAAAAGAUGGGGUAUAUUCCUACAUGAAUGGAUCUUGUCUACAUCAUGUUAUCAUUCUUAUUGCAUUACUUUGUUUUUCCAUGAACUUAAUACACUAGAAGCAUGCUGGAUAGCGGUCGAUGUGUGGAGUAAUAGUACUAGAUGCAGGCACGAGUCGGUCUACUAAUCUUGGACGUGAUGCCUAUAUACAUGAUCAUUGCCUUGGUCAUGAUUAUUCGCUUUUCUAUCAAUUGCCCAACAGUAAUUUGUUUACCCACCGCAUGCUAUUUUUUUGAGAGAAGCCUCUAGUGAAAAAUACGUCCCUUGGGUCUAUGUCUUAUCAUAUUAAAUCCAAAAAUACAUUGCUGCACUUUUUCUUUCUUUAUUUUUUUUUAUGUUUUUGCUAGAUCUAUUUAUCAAAUCUCAUACAAUUUAAUCUAUCUCAAUACCGAGGAGGGAUUGACAACCCCUCUUACACGUUGGUUUGUAAGUAUUUGUUGUUUGUGUGCAAGUGGUGUUUACAUAGAGUUGCUUGGUUCUCCUACUGGAUUGAUAACUUUGGUUUCAUAACUGAGGUAAAUACUUAUCUUUGUUGUGCUGCAUAAUCCUCUCCUCUUCGGGGAAAUACCAACGCAGACACGAGCAAUUAGGAAGAACUUCUGGCGCCGGUGCCGGGGGACAUCAUCAACAUCUAUCAAGUAACCAAUCACAAAUCUCAUCUCUUUGCAAUUACUUUAUUUGUCAUUUGCCUCUCAUUUUCAUCUCCCCCACUUCUAAAAAGAUUUUGCAAAAACACAAAAAUAUUUUCCGUUUCUUGUUUGAUCUCUUGUUUGCUUCCCCACCUUAUCAUUACGGAUAGUUCCUCCCUUGCCAUGUGCACCCUUAAGAAUGAAUUUCUCGAUUUCAAACAAAGGGGGUGAGAAAAUUUAAGAGAUGCUUGGUAUAGAAUUUGCAACGCUCAUAAUAGAUCUACUCGUAAGCAAUCGACUACCAUUCUUCUUCGAAUUUUUUAUGUCGGAAUUACUACCUGGUAUAGAUUUGUUCUUGACACUAUUACCAGAAGGAAUUUCUUGAUGCGUCCCUCUAUGGAUUCUUUUAAUGCUAUGGGAAAUUUAGUGGGAUCGCCACCUAUCAUUAUCAAUGAAAAGAUUUUAACCCUUGAGCAUGUUAUGCAAAGGCUAGAUGCUAUUGAAAAGAAAAUGCUCACCGAAGAACAUAUUGAAAAUGUGGACAAAAGGAUCCAUAAUCUUUCUAACUGAAUUGGGUCAAAGAUAGGGGAUACUCUUCAAAUACUAAAAGAGAAAAGAUCCGUAAUUAACAAAAGGGUAGAGGAGAGCCCUUCUCGGAUUGAUAGAUUGGAAAUAAAAUUAGUAACUUGAGCUUAACUCUUUCUUCCAUUAAAAAUAUUGAAAAAACUCCUACACAAAAUUGCAAGCCUACACAUGUUCCUAAGAACAAGGGUACCACCUCUAGUAGUAACAAUGAAGAUCUUAAAAUGAUUAGUAUUCACCCCAACUUUGUUGAAGUAAUAAAAAAUCCUACUUGCAAGAGUGAAUGCUUCAAUUUUAUUCCUAGGAGCGUGAUUAUUGAAAGUAUGCACACUAGAUCUCCGAGGAAUUAUGGUUGUGUUAUUGAGGAGUUGGAAAUCAAAGAAGACAAUACUUGAAUCUAUCUAUUAUGCCUACCUAGGGGCAUAAAACAAUAGCGUUUGUUGGGAGGCAGCCCAACGAAUAAAAUAUUUUUUUCUCUUUUUUCUGUCCUUGUGUGUUUACACAAUUAUGCUGCUGUAAUGAUUGUCUCUAUUCCUAAUGGAGCAGUUGGUAGUCUCGCUUCCAGGUUUUUUUUAGUCCCACCUUCCACGGUUUUUUUUCGUCCUAAAAAAAUCUACGAAAUUUCGUAGGUUAACCAGGGACAACUCCCACCUCCCAGGUUUUUUUCGUCCCAUCUCCCAUGGUUUUUUUGGGUACCUCGUCCCACCUCACACUAAGCCGCCACGAACCGCAAAAACCGCCUACCUUAGCCAAAUCAACAAAUCUCUCUCAUUAAUGCAAUUUUCUUUAGGAAACAAAUAAUGGAUUCUUUCCUACCAUAGCCAAAUCAACGGAUCUUUUCUAUUAAUGCAAUUUGCUUUAGCAAACAAAUAAUAGAUUCUUUCCUACCUUAGCCAAAUCAACGGAUCCCUCCCAUUAAUGCAAUUUGCUUUAGCAAACAAAUAAUAGAUUCUUUCCUACCUUAACCAAAUCUACGAAAUCUCUCUCAUUAAUGCAAUUUGCUUUAGGAAACAAAUAAUAGAUUUUCAGAAAACAAAUAAUCUCUAAUCUCUAAUAAUUUCUACUCCCAAUGAAACAGUUGGUAGUCUCCUCCCACCUUCCAUGGUUUUUUUUGGUACCUCCUCCUACCUUCGCUGGUUUUUUUUCGUAGAUUUUUUUCGUUCCCUCCCCUCACUUCAUCGGUUUAUUUUCGCGUUACCCUCUCACACAACGAAAGAAAUCUAAACAGAUCAGAACUUUUCAUACUGGCGCAAGUUAUUUAGUAAUGUAGAAUCAAUCACGAACAAUCUCUAAAGAUCAAAUCUAAAUUAAUUAACCUUACCUUAAAUCACUCAGUUACAUUAAUUAGAAAACAAAUAAUUGAUUUUCAAAAAAUCGCUCAAUCACGUAAACCUUACCUUAACUCACGGAUGGUAAUCAAUCUCCAAACAAAGGAAACAAUACAUCGAGGGAGCAAUAAAUAAACUCCCUUUCUUAUGACAUGUAUAUGAUCUUUCCUUCCCUCUACGUUGUCGAGCGUUCUUGAUUCUCGAGGCCGAUGCUUGGGCUGCGUCACUGGGUCGCGACGGUGCUGGAGGACGAGGACGGCGAGGCCGGGUGCCGCGGCACCGCGUUGGCCGCGGCCGGUGAAGGGGCAAAGAAGGGCGGCUUCCCUGGCCCUGGCCAUGGCCGUGACCCUGUGAGUUGGUGCGGUGGAAGUGGCACUUGAAGGACACGGCGUGGGUGGCCGACGCGCAGACGCGCUUGGAAGCGGGCCCGUGGCCCGUGCCGGACGGCGCCGACGCCGACCCGGGCCACCUCCUCCGCGUAUUCUUGGAGCUGUGGCUGGCCGAUUUACAUGAAAUUAAUUCCCUCAGUUAUGGUGGCAAAUAUAAUACACAUAAUCCAUAUUGUUAUGUACUAGCUUGUGUGUGUGAAAUAGAUGGAUUAUGGUCCCGUACCCAAUAAGAUGGAUAUGUGUGUGUUAGAGAGAGAGAGAGGGAGAGGGCGAGAGAGUGAGGAAGAGGGAGGCAGAGAGUGUGUGUGAGGAAUUGAUGAUAAAAAAGGUCGCCAAUGUCACUUGAUAUAUAUGAGAAUAUUAAUAUUGAACUUUUAAAGUUAAUGUGGCCCCGUUGCAACGCACGGGUGUUCUUCUAGUUGUGUUUUUAUGUUUUAAUUAGUGUUUGUGCCAAGUAAAGAUUUUAGUAUGAUGUUGGGUGAUAGUUGAUUUGAUCUUAUUGGAAAACAGAAACUUUUGCGUCCAGUAGAAGAAUUUUCAAAAAUCACUGAAGCGAAAAAAAAUUCUGAAAUUUUUACACCCGAUUGAUAUACGAAUUGCCUACGAUUUCCUAAUUGUUUAGAUUUUUUGGACUAACAGAAGUAUGGUUAAAGUACAGAUUACUACAGACUAUUCUGUGUUUUACAGAUUCUGUUUUCGUUGCAUUGCGUGCUUAUUUUGAUAAAUCUAUGGGGAUAAAAAUACAAUCACUAGUAGACAAAGGGUCUAAUGUGAAUCUCAUUAGUGCCGGUUUGUAAUUGAACUGGCAGUAAUGUGACCAUUAGUGCCGGUUCGAACGGCCAGGCGGCCGGCGCUCAUUAGUACCGGUUCGUGGCGAACCUUUAGUAUGGGUUGGUGGCUCCAACCGGUACUAAAGGGGGGGGUGUCCAACCGGUACUAAAGGUGAUGGCCUUUAGUACGGGUUGGUGGCUCCAACCGGUACUAAAGACCCCCCCUUUAGUACCGGUUGGAGCCACCAACCGAUACUAAAGGUGGUGCGCUGCCACCCGCAGUGCACAAUGUUUAGUCCCACCUCGCUAGUUGAGAGGAGCUCGCACCGGUUUAUAAGCCCCGCCGCGGCUACCGUGUCGAGCUCCUCUCUAAGCAGGCCUUUGUGGGCCUAUUGCAAGUCUUCUGCCCUGUGGGGCCUACUGGGCCAUACGGGCCUGCAUCCUGGCCCAACUAGAGAUUGGGUUUCUAGUCGUAUGCAGGCCGUGCCGGCCCAGUAGGUGGGCUGUUUUUGCUUUAUUUCAAAAAUAAAAAUAAAAAAAAUCCUUACCAACCGGGACUAAAGGUCCCCAAGACCACGACGCGCCUCGUGCCACGUGGUGGGCCUUUGGUCUCGGUUCAUGUUGAACCGGGACUAAAGGGGGGGGGACCUUUAGUCCCCACUCUUUAGUGCCGGUUCCAGAACCGGUACUAAAGGUCCUUACGAACAGGUACUAAAAGUCGUUUUUCUACUAGUGAAUGAGUACACACCCAGUCUCUGCAUUAUUAAGAUACAUAGAUCCAACACCAACACACACACGUGCACAAAUUAUCACACCUGCAAAGAGUAAAGUCAUACAAGACCAAAGUUAUGCCUAGGUGUAGGAAAAAAAUAGUAAUAUUAAUCCUCGUCGGGCUGGUGCUGAGAGACAAGAAAGCGACAAUUGCAAUAGAAACCUCCCACAACCAACAACCCCACCAAACAAAACCAUCUCCAAAAAUGACGCCUUCAAGAGGGAGGACGACGCCAUCACCCGAUCCGGGGAUUUGGAUGGUGUCGAAAUCCUGCCGAUGUCGAUAGGCAGCGAAGUGCACUAACGUUGACGCUAACUCUAUGUAAGCAUUGCCGUCAAUUCUGGUGGAACAUGGAUUGAUUGUGGAGGUUUUGCCUUUGGUACAACGUGCAUGUAAUAACAUACCUUUGGUAGAGCAGAACAAGGUGUUUUCUUUCCUGUCUUGCAUAGAAUCUGCCAAUCUGGAGAGUUGUCAGGAAAUCGAGUAGCUAGUUGAAUAGUAGGUUUUUGCGGCAAUUAUCUUCUUGGCCAUUUACAAGUGGAUAUAUAGUUUUACAUGUUAUCGAGUUGUUAGAUGGUGAAUUGUGACGUUUAAUAUGUUCGUGUUGGAGCUGCUUCUUGAUGGGAUUAACUUUUCUUUUGCAAAACCAACGCCUUUGUAUUUUAGCUCUAGUUUCCUUUCUUAGAAGAAGGGGAAAAAUGUAAAUAUUCAUAUUUUGGCCAGCUUGGAGGUGCAAAUUGGUGACCCUAACAUUCUCAAACCCUCUUUUGUUCAAACAAAUUAACUAAUUUUUAAAAAAUAAUGUGAUUUGAAUACUUGUUUAUUUGAUUGAACUAAAGAGGUUUAGAGGGUACUCUUCGGGUCACCAAUUUUCAUCGCUAGUUUCAAGCCAUAUUUGUCUUUUGUUCUUUGUGUUUGUUACUACGACUCUUUAGGUUCAUCAUUUCUGUAGAAGGAAAUGAACACAUAUUGAAAAAAGAGUUGUGCUCUUUAAUUCUUAGCUAACUAAGUUGGAAAUGCUCUAAAUUGCGUCCUCGUACAGAUCUGAAGACCAGCUUCAGCUCGAAGUCCACUAGAUGCACUUCUUAGGAACCUCUAACCGCGCCUUCUAAUUCUUGGACGAGAAACCCACAUCCGCCCUAGUAUGAAGAGUAGCGGAAAGCCUUUUGCACAUUAAGUUUCAACUGAUUGUGGACCGGUCUUGUCUAGCGCACCACCGAAUUCUUUUCAUGCGCAUAUUGUAGCACAUUUAGGGGCGGAGCGGGAGCAAAUGGUACCCGAUGCACCACUUCAACAUAGUGCAAAAUUUCCAAGCGAUGACGCAUUGAAUAAAGGUGUGUUUCGCAGCUUCUAAUGAAGAUUUUUGGACAUAAUAGAAGAUGAUAUAUAAAAAAAUUAGGCACUCAAAUGUUUACUAUAAUGAUAAAAUCAAGAGAUAAAAUUAUUUGAAAAGGGUGUCUUGCAUUCCCAAAUUCCAAAAUAUACCAGGAAACGAGAUAAGAAACAGAAUAAACAUUCAAGUAGAACAUUAUAAAAUGUCGCAUCAAAGUAUUUAAAUGACCCAAAUUUAAGAAUGGGUCUGUGUAGGACACAUCUAGAUAUGACAUAGUUAUGUCACAUAUAACCUGAUGUCCACUAUGUUAGUGGUCUAUUUUUUUUUCCUUGCUUUUUUUGUUUCUUGUUGUUGUGUAUUUGUGAGAGCUUAUUAGAUGUGACAUCCUUAUAAAACAUCUAGAUGUGGAUUAGGCAAACUGUUUGAGAAUUACCUUUAGCACAUUUUUACUUGUCGACUGUAUGGAAACUUGUAUAAAGUAUAUUCUAAUUAGAAGUUGUAACCCUUGAAAUUGCCCGCAUUUUGCCAAAACAUAGAGAUUUAACCUAUUGACUACAAGUUAUAAUUAUUGUUGCAAUUUGUAAUACAGAAAAAGCAAGUCAAGGACAGUACCAGAAUGGGCGUCCUUUGCAAUCUAAGGAUGAAAUGGAAGAUUGAACAGAUUGCCGAAUUGCCGAGAGCCAGACCGGCCAGAUUCGAAAUUGCGGCGUGCACCAUCAUCGUGCCGGGAUUCAGGCGUGCGAAUGAUGGUCGGUGAUGCGGCCUCCGGCGUCCCUAUCGCCGCCAGGCCGCCGCCUUUGACUUGUCUGCGCGAGGCGUAUGGAAGGGCUACGCACGCACAAACAGGGGAAAGACUAAUCCAUCUUUUUUUUAGGGAAGGAAAGACUAAUCAAUCGAUCGAUCAAAAUCAAAGUGUCCAACCACCCGUGUAGUGUAUGUGAUGUGGGCUGGGAAGCAAACUGCUUUGUCCGAUUGGCCUGCUUCGGCCCAGUCUGGAGGCGUGCGUCUGCCUGGAAACACAGACCCUGAUGCACUAGUCUUGGGCCAACCUGAUGCACAGGGCCUUUUUUGUGAUAGUUGCUACUAAAAAAAAUUCUUGCACCCGUAUUUCUGUGCAUCAGGGUCGGCCCAAUGGGCUCCACCCAGGGGAUCGAAGCUGCAUCGCUUGCUGGGCAGUCGCCACGCAAAACGCUGGUUCCUUUAGUCCCACAUGGGCUAGCGAGGUUGAGCGGGACCAGCUUAUAAUCCCCGCGCUGCUAAGCGAGUUGUCCCUUCGGAGACACCCGGUGAUUGGAUAAUGGAAAAAAUAGCAUUAGUGGCACUUUUUUUCAAUUUUUGGCACCUUUAAAAAUAAACCAAACCGUCUCUCUUAUUUAUUAUUCUCCUAAAUUAGUACUUAUUUUCACAUUCAAAAUUUUUGAAUUUCACCUGCAGUCUUUUCAGCCCCUCACGUAUACUACUAUUUUUAUUAGAAGGUUCAUCUUUUUUCUGAUCCUUACCCCUAUCAACUUUAAACAAACCGCCUCCUCUCUAGCUUCUCCGCCUCGCCUCAAAAAUAAGCUAUGAUUAUAUAUGAUAUUUUCAUUUUGUAUGAUAAAUUCAGCUCUAAAAAUAAGAGUUUUAUGAGCAUAAGUUUAAAGUCAUUAUUUUUUACUUUAAAAAGGUAAGUUGUGCACAUAAGCGAUUUGCAAAGGAUGCAUUUAUUAUCACCAUGCGUGAUACAUCUUGCGAGAUGAAAAAUGGUGGAGAACAUGUCUUACUCCCAGAAGAGAUGGAAGAAGCUAGGGCACAUGUUAUUGAAAGAGGCCAUAGCAGCGGCUCGGUGGAGCACCCACCGGCGUCGGGUACCUUCUACAGAUUCAUUGUCUACGCGCCUAGUAGUCUGCGUAGAUACCACGAUCAAUAUCCACCUCCUGACCAGCAUUACCAGGUCUACCAUCAGCAGGCGGCCAAGUAGAACAUGGCCGACCAUGAAGAGAACAAAUAUAUACGCAACACAUCCACACCCGGUUUCUAUCAUGAGCACCAUAUAUAAAUCAGUCUGUACAGCCAAAACGGCAACCGACCUAAAGUAGCAAAAAGAAAAAUUCCAUGCGACUCUGCUGACAACAAUGAAAUAACAUAUGCGACAUGUCAACCAUAAUCCACCACGCGGCAACACCAUUAUUAACCCACACAUGCGACCGUCAAAAAAGGAAACAAAACAGAUGGUAAAAAAUAGAGAAAAUAUCUCAUUGUACGGAUAAGACAUAAAAAAUAUAUUAGAAGAGAUAAAAGAAAAUAAGCCACACACAUAAAACGACCAAAGGAGAAAUAUCUCAAUCCAUAGAAAAAAUAAUAUACUCCGUAUAAUUCAAAAAGGGCAACCGAAAUCACAUGCACGUAGUCACACCGGCCGCCAUGCAGUGAUGCAUGUAAUCAUAUCCCUCCGAAAUUAGCGCCCGUGAUUGCAUGCACCUAUUAGUGGUCAAACCGGAAACAAGACAGAUACUACCACGCAGCAAAAGGCAGUUUGAUCUAACAAAACAAAUCCGAGGAUAAAUCGCCGGGUCCACCCAAUUGCAAUUCCGUAAAAUUCGGUGGUAAAUCCAAGGAAACCUCAAAUAGAAAAAUAAGAAAAAGGAAUCCUUUGCGGGGUAGUGAUGUUAUUAUACUAACACAUAAAGAAAUAAACUAUUUGGGACCGUGCUUGUCGGUGUAUCCGUGUAUGUAUGUCAUGCCCAACUUUGGAUUCUGUUCAAAUAAACACAUUGGGUCGUCAGUCUAAAGCGCAUCAAUCCAGAAUCCAACCAUUCCGAUUAUACAGAUACAAAAUUCGUACUUCAGCCAGAGAGCAUCUCAUGGUGCUUCAUCUGCACGUACAAAUGCUUCCGGCUGUACUGGUUAGUGCCUUGUGAAAGCAUGUGAACUUUUAUAUUAAAGAGAACAACUUAACAUGUACUAUUAAAUUUUCAAGUGCUCACUUAUGUGGAUAGAUCUCCCGUUCGCAUAGGGAUGUCAACAUUGAAAGCGUGGGAUCAUCGCUCGUCCAUUGUAAUAGUAGUUCUGCCCCCACGCCCAAGUACAGUAAACAGGCCCAGCCACCGUACCGUCAGCGCUGCGCCAACUCUCACAUGGACGAACAGGAGCUUUCCCUGCCAUGCAAGUUGCAGCAAACCACGGUGCCCAGGCACGUACGUACUCUUGAGGCCAUCCAUGGAACGUGCCAAGUAAACCAACCUGCAAGUGCAACCGCUGGUGAUACUCGUCACAUAAUGCACUUCACACUUGGAGACACCGGGCCGAAGGGGAAGACCGUGCCACCCGCGUCCACACGCACCUCGACGCCGGAGUCUGCGCGCUCAAGGCAUGCAUAGUCAGCCUCCGCCGCGGACGGGUAUUCGGAGCUAACGCACGUGGAGGACGCCCUAGCCGCACUCGGCGAGUUCCUUGAAUUAUCACCUGCGAACGGUCCACCGUCACGUACAGCUCGUUCGAGCAAGCGCUAAUCGCGCUCGAGCAGAGCGUCGCGGAGCUGCGGGCGGGGGCGUUCAGUUGGGGACGGCACGAUGGUUGCCACCUUGCUUCGGGCACCCAGUCGAUCAGAGAAGGUCAAAAGGAGCAAUGCGGCCUUGCUGUGACAAUGCAACACAUGCCGGGGAAGGUGUUGUCACCGGCGCGAUGGCUUUGGAGGCGGAGCCACAUGAAAAAAAUCGAGAAGCGGCCACCGGCACCACAGGACCUCCGACUCCGGUAACCGUUGUAUAAGUGACACGGAACGGCAGGACGCCGUCCGCCUGGGAGGUCGCGAGCUCGAGGCGGCAGGUUUUCGAAGGCUCCGGCGCGGUCCUCUGCGGCAGGCAGGUCCUCUGUGGCCAGUGCUGCGGUGAAACAGAAGCGAAUCCCACUAUUUAUACACCUUCCGCUCAUCUAGAAAGAACGAUUCAAGCGGCGAUCAAGAAGCAUCGAAUUAAGCGGCAGGAUGUCGGCAUGAACACGUGGCCAGAACAACGACCAAAGCGGCAAGCGAGUACCAGAACCAUCGAGUUAAGCGGCGUUCAAGGGACGAGACUUGCCUGCUCUCUUCCCGUGCUCCCAUCCGUGCUCCCGUGUACGUGCCUUGAUUUGAUUGGAAGAAAAUAAGGCCCGGCCCCAUCCCCUGAAAAUCAGGGGGGAAGAUGAUUAGAUUAAAAAAGAAAAGGAGAAAAUGCCAGCCGUAGAAUAAAGUGGGAGCACGGAUGAGAGCAUGGAAAGGGAGCAGGCAAGCCGGAUCCGCGUUCAAGACCCGAAUUUAGGCAACCAGCAUGCCGCAUAUGCAUGUAAACCGCAACAACCAGAACCACCACAUGCAAAAAAUAACACGGACACGCGUCUACAGAGGCAAAAAUCAAGCAGCAUACAACCGAGCGGGAGACAAACACGGAGGUGGAAAAAAAAACAGCCAGCCCACAACAUCUGUACGCAGUUGGUAGUCUCGCUUCCAGGUUUUUUUCGUCCCAUCUCCCACGGUUUAUUUUCGCUCUAAAAAAAUCUACGAACUUUCGCAGGUUAACCAGGGACAACUCCCACCUCCCAGAUUUUUUUUCGUCCCACCUCUCAUGGUUUCUUUGGUACCUCGUCCCACCUCACACUAAGCCGCCACGAACCGCAAAAACCGCCUACCUUAGCCAAAUCAACAAAUCUCUCUCAUUAAUGCAAUUUUUUUAGGAAACAAAUAAUAGAUUCUUUCCUACCUUAGCCAAAUCAACGGAUCUCUCCCAUUAAUGCAAUUUGCUUUAGUAAACAAAUAAUAGAUUCUUUCCUACCUUAGCCAAAUCAACGGAUCUCUCUCAUUAAUGCAAUUUGCUUUAGGAAACAAAUAAUAGAUUUUCAGGAAACAAAUAAUCUCUAAUAUCUAAUCUCUAAUCUCUAUCUCCAAUCUCUAUCUCUGAUCUCUAAUCCCUAAUCUCUAAUCUCUAAUCUCUAAUCUCUAAUAAUAAUAAUAAUCUCUAUCUCUACUCCUAAUGGACAAGUUGGUUGAAUAGUCCGGUUUAUUUUCGUCUCACAUCCCACCACCAUAUCUACUCACGUUAAUUUUUUUUACCCUCACAAUAAAAAGUUUCCUAACCUUUCCAAAGUUUCCUAACUAGACACGUUAUAAACGGGCAGGAACUGAUAGCACGUUACCAAUCAAUAAAAUUUAGUUUCAUGACAAUCAAUUCCAAAUCCUAAUUUUCCUAAUACGUCGAUCUUUCUCAAAUCCUAAUAAGCCCUCUUCCUCUUUCCUUUUUCACCGCUCCACCUAGAAAAAAAGACCCAUCAAUCACGCAACCCCUCCCUGCCUCUCCCCAACUCCCCAAGCGACAUCCUCUCUCCCCUCCCUGCCGUCCCCCAAGACGCCCUCGUGGGCGCACUCUUCAUCGGAGCGCCGUCCGCUGGAAGCCGGAGUCGGGUUGGAGAGCAGCCACCAGCGGGGGAGACCACAAGGGGAGGUGUUGGUUCUUCCUCCGAUUGAUGCAUCCGCUCGUGGGGGCAUUGCUGGUGGGGGGCGAGGAGCGAUGUUGGUGGCCAUGCUGGGGCCCGGCGGCGUGGGCGGGCGCGCUGGAACUGGUUGUGUCGAUGGCGUCGUUACCGCCGGAGACCACAUUCGUGUGGGCGCUGGCCAGCGCCGGGUGCGUGGCCGGGUAGGUGCGCGUGCCUCUCGACGGUCUGCUCGACCCGGCCGGGUCGGCAGCUGUACGGCUUCGAUGUGCUGCGCACUGCAAAGGGCUUCCGUCGCUCGAUGAGGUCAUCCAGCAGUAAGGGGAAAACCCCCCUUCGAUCCCUAACACUACCCCACCACAAUAAUCCAUUGCUAAAUUUUCUAUGACUGUUUGGUUAAAUUUGCAGGUCGGACAAGCUCGUUGGCCACAUUGGGUAGCUGCCACCCUCUGCUGAGAUUGUUCACACCAUGGAUGAGUUCUCCAACACUGUAAGCUACUCUUCUUUGGUUACGUUUUAUUUAAUCUGUGUAGAUUGAUGUGGGUUGGCUGAUGAUUGGCUAGGUUUGCUCGGUCAUUGAUUCGGCGGAGCUAUGCAGGGACACGCACUCAGAUAGGUGAUUGGAUGACGUCUGCUUGCUUCUUGUGUAAUAAUUUGGAAGCUCUGAAGCAAAGUGCUUUCAGUUUUCUUUUACUGAAUAUAAAUAUGUAUGUGAACUAGGGAGUUUACGGAGGAAGCAGAUAAGGCAUUAAUGACGAAUUAUGAGCAUCUUCAAGUAAGGUCUAUAACAUAAAUGGCAUCUGUGAAAAGGGAGAGAGCAGAGUGAAAUGACGGGUAGUUUCGUGUUGGACAUCACAGCGAGCCGGCCUGGCACCGGUAACACACUCGGGCAUGGCCCGGAGUUGCAACUCGUCCAUGGUGCCCAUGACGCCCAACUCCCACUCAUGGGUGUACGACCGGAUGCGCUUGUUCACCAGGCUGACGCACCUUUUUUCAAUUUUUGGCACCUUCAAAAAUAAACCGCCUCCUCUCUAGCUUCUCGCACAAACCGUCUCUCUUAUUUAUUAUUCUCCUAAAUUAGUACUUACUUUCAGAUUCAAAAUUUUUGAAUUUCACGUGCAGUCUUUUCAGCCCCUCACGUAUACUACUAUUUUUAUUAGAAGAUCCAUCUUUUUUCUGAUCCUUACCCCUAUCAACUUUAAAUAAACCGCCUCCU